AAGGCAGGUCACUGUCCUCCAGAGGCCCACAGCCUACACCCCACCAUUUCCCCACUAGUUUGGGAUCCUCCAAACUAGUCAUGCCUCAGAAUCACCCAGGAGAUACUUUAGAUUAAAAGUACUAUUAAACAAAUUCCUGGCCUUACCUCCAUUUGUAGAAUUAAAACACUAACAUUUCUCUCAGUCCUCUCAACCCUAUCUUCAUGGUUAUGAUGAUCUUUGGGCUUUUCAAACAUGUUGAUGCCAGGGUACUACCCCAGGCAGACUUAGUCUCAGGGAAGGACCUAGACACUGAUAGAUGUUGAAGUCCCCUAGGUGGUUUUUGUUUUUGUUUUUCUUUUUUUUUGAGACAGGCCUCGCUUUGUCACCCAGGCUGGAAUAUAGUUGCAUGAUCACAGCCCACUGCAGCCUUGACCCCCAGGCUCAGACUAUCCUCCCUCACCCUCCCAAGUAGCUGGGACUAUAGGCAUGUGUCAACAUGCCUGGCUUAUUUUUUAAUCUUUUGUAGAAACGGGGACCCACUAUGUUGCCCAGGCUGGUCUUGAACUCCUGGGCUCAAGUGAUCCUCCCGCCUCAGCCUCCCAAAGUGUUGGGAUUACAGGUAUGAGCUACCACGCUCAGCCCCCCAGGUCCUUCUGAUGCAGGUUGCAUCUGGCUGUAUCAACAGAGGGGUUUUAGGUAUGCAGUAAGCAUUAGGCUGGGAUGUUCACUGCCCCACACUCCUCACCUGUAUGCAUUUGCUGUAGAACCACCAUGCAUCAGGCCCUCCUGGGCAUGGUGCUGUGUUUCAGUCUCUAGCUGAUCCCAUCCUUCUUCCUUGCCUCCUUUGUAGUCUCAUCACUUCUGCUCUGCCCCCUGGGCAAAUGACCCUGAGAACUGUCUCCAGCAGUGACCUGUCCAGACCCAGCUCUGAAGUUCCCACUGGGCAUUUCUGUUGGCAUGGUGAACCCGAGUCAGUCCCGGGCCAUGCUUCUCCCUGCAGGUUGGGUUACAGAUUCCAGUGUUCCUCUGCUGUUCUUCCUCCCACAGUCCUUUUGGUCCUGAGUCCUGCCACCUUCACCCUUGUGGUCCCCUGCAGUGCCCGGCUUCUCUGGUCACGCUGAUGCUAGCCUCAUUCAGCCUGCACCGUCUUGUCCACGGGCUGUCUCACAAUGCUCUCAGUUGGUUUCUGCCUCCUCAGAUUGUCUUUGUCUAGUCAUCCUUCCCCAGCUGCUGAAGCAUAGGUUGGCUCACAGAACGUGUGCCACUAAAAACGUGAGAGGGCUUCUUGGCAAAGACAGGGCAGUGCACAUCUCCCCAUCUGCCCACACCUGCCUUCCCAGCUGCCACGUCCUCCUGCCAUACUGAGCCUGCUCACUGGGCCCUCUGCGCUCUGUAUCCUGGGCCUCACCAUGUGGUCCAGCUGUCCAUCUGCCUUCUCCUCUGGUUUGCUGAUCUGUCCCUUCAGUUCUGGUUUAUAGGUCACCCUACAAGCUUCCUCUAAUGGCUUUGGCCAAAUCUCCCAUUCCCCAGGUGCCCCCACCUUAUGCACCUGUAGUCUUUGGCCCUCUUUUCUCAUCCUUCCUGGCUCAUGUGCAGGUGCUCACAGGGAUGGCUCCCACUCCAAUUGCCCUGUAGGCUGGAAUCACAGUUAGCCCCUCCCCUGUGCAGGGCCUUUGCACAGACUCUUUGGGCACCACGUGCUCUCACAGAGGCUGCCAAUGGCAUGUUUUUUGGGUGUUCCUGACCAGAUGCUGUGGACAGUAACAGAGGCCUUUCGAUUUUCCGAGUGUACGUCAGUGGAGCCUUCCUCUCAGGCCCCCAGCCUACUGCUGCUGCUUCUCUCACUGCCCCUGCCCAACAUGCACACACAUACACACGCACACAAACAUGCAUGCACACACGCACACACACAUAUGCACACACGCACAUACAUGUACAUGCACAAACAUGCACAUGCACACAUGCAUCGUCCUCCCUAGUGAGCUCUGUCCUUCCUGCUGCCGCCUCCUCCCUCACUCACCACACCUACAUUCUCAGAGCAGCCUCCCAGGGAUUUGGUGGUACUUUUGGGAAACAAUUUCCUCCUCGACCUCCCUCUUCGAUGAGGGAAUGAUAACUGAGACACAGCUGGUAAGUAGCAGUACUGGAGAGGGAAAGGAUGCCAGUAACUACCCCCACAUCCUCUCCCCAUCUCCACCAUCUCCAAUGCAGCCAACCUGCCUGAAUGCCUCAUGAAGCGCAGUCCAGCUAGUCUAGCGUCUCCAGUUUCAGCCAUCCUGGCUAUACCCCGUGAGGCCCUUUCUUGGGCUGCUGCUUUGAGGGUGGCCUCCAACAGCUGAACCACACCCUCACAGCCUUCCCAGGAGAUCCCUCAGGGAGUAUGGGAGGACCAGGCCCCUGCUCUGGACAAGUACAAGUACGUGGAGAGGGACACCAUGGCCUCUGAUCCCCAUUCCCUUGGGGAGAAAGGGUGGUGCCAGUUGGCAGAGCGGCCUUUGGGGAAGUUGACCCAGAGUGUGAGGGUCAGGAUGGAGCAGCUUCCAGAGCUCAAUCUUGGUGAGGGAGAAGGAGGAAGGUAUUAGAGGCUGAGAGACUCCUCUGUGGAUGUGUGCAGAGGCCUGAGGGAGGGUGCGAGGGCAGGGUUUAUUCGAGGAACUGCGAGAAUGUCAAGCAUUUUAGUGUGGGGUAGAAACGGAGAGGGGGCAGGCAGAGACCAGAGUGCUAGUCCUUGGGCCUGCCUUGCCCUGCACAGACUCUUCAACUCUAUCCUCAGCACUGCAGUCCCCAGCUGGGCUACCUUCAGCUGCCGUCCUCAUUCUGCCUCUGUCUGGGAACUUUCUCUGCUCGUUGUCCCUAUGUGCAGGCUCCGGGUUGGCUGGGCGGGGACAUGGCUCCUCCAUGGCUUUCACUGGCAGCCUGUGCUGCAGGUCCUGAAGUCAGGUGUGGGGACUGCUGAGGCUCACCCCCAUGGGGCUGGCAUACUGACAGGCUUUCCCAUCAUCCCUCAGCCUCAAGGGAGAAGGGAGAACUAAUCCCAUAGGGAAACAACAGCAAAGCCCCAGUGGACUGUGACCAUGAGGAUGAGCAGUAGCUUGUACAAACUUGUCCUUCGGCCAAGAGGCCCUUUGGCGGCUUUGGGAGGAAGAACAUGGCGGGUCUCCCUCCCCCAGCAGGCCUCCUCCCUGCCAUAGCCCCUCACAGUGCCAGGAGCACACCAGGCCAUGGACUGAACAAACCACCUUCCCAGGCCCUGUUUCCUGGCAGCCCUGUGGGCGCCAAAGCCUGACAGGAGGUGGCUGACUCCGGGUGGCCCCCCUGUGAGCACCUCCUCACAAACAUGGCCGGCACCUCCCGGAAGAACGGCUCUUCUCUGCUUUGCUCUCAGUUUCUGGGCUGACAAUUAGGCUACUGAAAAAGGACAAUUCACAACAGGCCCACACAGAGAAGGCCUUUCAUGUGCAAGAAUGGCCCCGUCGUCCACAUUAGCACCAUUAUGUCUUUAUUUAUAGGAGGUACUGUACUUGAGAAUGGUCAGGCAGCAUUGCUUUAAGAAGGGUGUUUGGUCACUGGAUUUGAAGCACACUGAGAGGAUUCAUUGUCCCCAGGCCACACGGGGCCCGGCCUAGCAGCCUGGGGUUCGGUCCAAGCGUGCUGAGUGGGUGGUAGAGCGCACGCUGACAGGGGCUGCAGGGUCGCCCUGGCUGGCAGAGCCUUUGUGGUUGAGUCGGUGGGUGGUGGGGGGAAGAUGAGGAAGCUGUCUCAUGGUGGCAGGUCUGUGACAGGCCCAGCCCAGUCUGAGAUCCAUUUAUAGAGUGACACAGCAGCCUGUGCGGGCAGCAGGGAGCCAUUCUCACCGACUCACGCAAAUCCAAGAGAAGCCUGGGUUCAUUCAUGAUUUAAGGUUUUACGGUAUUGGAAAUGACAGCCCCACAUGGGAAGGACCCUGGGUUUUUGUAACCCUGGCUGUUGGCAUGAAUGCUCCAUCAACCCAGGAGGAUGCCCACAAACACCCUCUGAACUUCUCACACAGACACCUCAACCUGAAGGAACUGUCUUCAGACAGCCUGGUGCGGUUUUAGAGAGCGUGCAGCCUGCAGCAGGAGCCUUCGUUCAGGUGGUCCCAUCUACUCCUCAACCCUGCCCCGCUCCACCACCUCAGCUCACUUCUUCCCGGCCUCCUGGGUCUGCAGUCCUUGCUGUUUUCCAGGGCAGCAGAAGGCAUGCAGAGGGUGGGCAGAGUUUGCGGUCCCCCUCAGCGGAGGAUCACACCCUACAGCUGGCUCAGGCUCUGGGGUUAGCAUUUGAAUUGGGAGUACCCGGCUGAGGGCUCUUCAUUCCUCGCACUGGCUGAUGGAGCAGUCGUGCCCUCAAUCAGAGCUGCAGAAAGCCAUCAUCCUCCCCAAGUGGGGCUCUUGUUCCUAAUACUGUAACCUUAAAUCAUGAAUGCAUCCAAGCUUUUCUUGGAUUUGUGUGAGUCGGUGAGAACAGCUCCCCACUGCCCAGAUGGGCUGCUUUGUCAUUCUGCAAAGGCUUCUCGGCCUAGACUGGGCUUGUCCCAGGCCUGGUUUCUAAGCAUCAUCAUCUAUCCAGGACAUAAAGAGGAUUGUUGGCCCCUGCACCCCUACUAUUUAUUAUUACUGCUGCUGUUAACUAUCACUUCGUUGCAUUUCCCGAGCUCAGCACUUGACUUGGAUGUUUUCAUUUUAUCUUCAUAACCACUUAGGCAGUAGGUUCUUUUAUCACCAUUUUGCAGAUGAAGAAACUGGCUCAGAGAGGGCAAGCAAACGGUUCAAGAUUACACAGCUAGAAAGAGGUAGAGCCACAUCAUGUUGCCUCAGAGGCCCUGAUUCCAAGCUGCCUCGGCCCAGGCUUCUGGGUCCUUCCCACUGCCUCUUCCAGGUGUUUCUGAGUCAUGAGCCAUGGAAGAAGAAGAAGAAAAGAACAAAUCACAGGCUCAGGUAUGCUCCAGGGGCCUCAUCUUCUAGCUGCCUCCUCCCAGCUGGGCCUCCAGGCUUCUGUAAUUCCGUAAUAUGGUUCCCUAGGGACCACUUUCCUUUGCCUCCCUACAUAUCAGUAAGUCAUUUGCCUCCCUACAUAUCAGUAAGUCAUUUCCUCAACUUUUUUUCCUUAGGGCUUUUAUCCCUAUUACGAGAAAAAGUUUCCUUCACAGUGAUUUAUGUCUGCCUCUGCAGAUCAUGUUUAAAAGUGUUCCAGAGACUUUCAGAAUUAUUUUUGUUUAAAUAUUAGACUUCUGUCCCUGCAAAAUGUAUGACCCUAUGCUGUCAAUCCUGGAUAUUGGCUUUGGUAGAGUAGCCAUCCUGGAUUUUUUAACCUAGAUAUUAAUCGAGCAUUCUGUCUUGUGACAAUGCAAACCUUCACUGGAGAAAUGCUGAGAGAAUAGGGAACAGGUUCAGGCUCAGGACUGCACAGUCUCUAUCAUCCCAGUUACCUCCCCAAACCCAUGUUAGCAGGAAGUGAAACCAAGGCAGAUGGUCACAGGCUUCAGGGGAGGAAGAGACGGGAGGCAGGAUGAGCGGUGGAAACCUUCCACACGGGGCUGAGCUCUCGGGCCUGUUUAUGAGGGCAGUGGAGCACAGGCUUGGAUGCAGAUGGCCUUGGGCCUGGCUGUGCCACUUGCUCACUGCUGUGUACCUGUGGGCAAGUUACUUGAACUCUCUUUGCAUCCGUUUUUGAAUCUGUAAAAUAAUUGUACUAUCUUACAGGCUAGUUUCGAAGAUUGAAUGAGUGGAUGCAUACAGUACCCUGAGAAAAGGGCCUGGCACGUGGUAGGUGCUCAUUUAUUGUUGGCGACAAGAAGAGACUGGUUUCAGAAUAAAUGGCCGGGGCUGUUUUUCAUUCAGCAAAUAACAGUAGUAAUCUCUCUGUUUUAAAUAGGCAGAGAGGGUUGACAGGUCUGGGGAGGUGCCCACCUAAAGUCAGAAAAGGUCCUUGCCAGCCACAUCACAGGAUUCAGGGAGAUAAUGUGAUUUAUUGUUUAUUUAAUUUAUUUAUGCCGUGCUGAGUUCCAUGCAGGGUCUGAGCUGUCUUCCGUCUGCUUUCUUUCCAUGUUCUGUUGCUUCUUGGUGAAUGAGAUUAGGGCAGGAAUUGGCCUCAGUUCUGGAAGCUGGACUGGUCCUAUCAGAGCGAUCCCAUUCUUUGUGUGUUUGCCUGUACUUGAUGCAUUGCUGUUGCCUUUGAUUCCCUCUGCCUGGCGGGGGUGAGGGGUGGGGGAGGGAUUUGUCCACCUGCCAUUGUGUAUAUCCAUGCCUUUUUGAAAGACACCUGCCAAUGUGACUCUUUUUUCUUUUAAGAAAGCCUCUCUUGUGCUGAAAAACUAAGGCCUCAUCCAGUGGCAAAGUCCUCUGUAGGCCAGCCCGGUAGUGACAGCUGAGUCAGGUUAUCACAGGCAUUUCUGCCACAUCUGGAUUCCACAAAGCAGACAUCAGAUGGUGGCCUGAGGGUUCGUGCCAUUAUAUACAACAAGGGUUGUGGUUUAAGGACCUCAUCUGCCCCUCCCUGCCCCAGCUGCUUCCUUGUGGGACGUUCUUAGCCUCAUGGUAGCCAGGAUGUGGGUACAUUUCAGGGGACUGAAACUGUCUCCUGUAGUUGCCAGGCACCAGGAACCCCAGCCAGUCAGUGUGUAAGCCCAACCCUGCUGUCGUUUCUGGCUCCCCUAUCUCCCUCCACCCACAUCCACUCUUUCUCCAGAGUCACCAUCCAAGCACAAGACGAUACCCUGCCAGUAUUAGCUGGUCAUUCAGGGCUUCAAACUCUUGAGGGAGAACACCCUGAAAUCGGUAGACAUCAUGCUGGACUGGGACAGUAACUUACUGGGUCACCUUCUUCCUGUCACUUUGCCUCUUCUGCAAAAUAGAACUGCCACCCACUGUCCUCACUGUCGUGCCACGAAUGUCAAGUUUAUAUAACUGCAAACCACAUUCAGGUCUAUUCUGUUUUCCUUUCAAACACAGAUACUUUAAUGGCCUAAACUACUCUGACCCUGCAACUCUACAGGGUAGCAUUAGUUUUUUAUAAUUAUCAUCUUGUGACUGCUCAUGAGAGACUCACAAAGCACGCAUGGUCCAACUGGCUGCCUCCGUAACAUGAGGAUCACACAUUGUCGAUAACGAUUAGCGCCAAGGCUGAGAAAAUGAACAUCCAACGGCAUCUAGACCAGGAGGAAACACAGGGCACUGGGCUGGAAGAUGAGCUGUCCCAGGUGGCCCACUCCACCCAAGGGAUGCCCUCCAGUUGACAGCCCCCGUCCUCCCCCCAUACAGUCGAUUGCCCUUGCUCUCCAUCCCAAAGUCCCUGCCCAAGUUCAUCAUAAAGUGAAUGGACCAACUCCUCUCCAGGCUGGAGUGAUUCUGCCUUAGUCUCUUUGUUUAAGAUUAUGGACCAGUGCUCUAGUACUUUACAUCUUGUACUGUUGGGUGAAAAAUAAAAAGGGGAACUGUAGCUCAGGGGCUGUUAGCAAGUACCAAGAAGGAAAAUGGAGCUUGUCCUGCAGUUAGGUGAACAAGACGGUGAUUUUGGUCUGAAUAGAGCCACAGACAGUGGAGAUGAAAAGCUGAAAAUGUUUCAGUAGCUGUAAGUCCUAUGAGCAGUGGCAAUGUCCCCAACAUCCUAGGAGGUUUUUUGUUUUGUUUUGUUUAAACUGUAAUCACUACAAUAAAUAUUUUUCUUUAGAGGAUGAAAGAUCUAAAUUUGAACACUGUUGUCUAUAUUCUGUGUAAUGGCUAUGAGAAUGGUAAGAUUUUUGUUUUCUCUUAGAAAAGGGAAAUUUAUCUACAUUCCCCUUAAACUUUUAAAAAUAUAUUAAAAAGGAAAUUGUUCAUAAUAUGUGUUCUCCGAAUGAAUAGUAACUUAAUAGAAAUUAUUUUUUCUAUUAAAAAAUUAUUAACAUGAGAUUGGAGAGGUGUUUUCUUUUUUCCUCCCACCAAGAUGAACCUUUGCACAUUUGAAAUGGCAUCUCAAGACAGUUGGGUAGCGGUUUUUAUACUGGAAGUAGGGAUGACCUUAUACCCGGUUCAAUUUAUAACUUCUUCAAAAUUCUGUUAUUUCUUCUGCUAAUACUUUGUUCUGUGGAAUACUUGCUGUGCUCCUAUAGUACCCAAUAGGAAGCUUGAUAUACAAUUUUAGCAAACCCAUAUUAGUUACUUCUAAAUGAAUUUGAUUCCCUUCCCUUGAAUGUAGACACUUUAAUAUGGAUGCAAAUGUUUCAUGAUAGAAAUUUGAUGAAUAUAUUACAAAUCCCAGUCGCACGUGAAGGGAAGCAGUUUGGUUGGAUGUUGAACGCAAGAAUAAAAUUCCACAGCUUCCCAAGCUCUAAGUAAGAAUGUUAGUUGCCCCCAAAAGAAGGAUUUUUUUUUAAAAGGGAAAAAUCGUUUUUAAAAAUCAGCAAGAUAAUCAACCACUGCAGAUUUUGAAUCCCAGUCCUGAUCAGGAAGCAGGAGAAAGAAUUCUCAAAUGUACUAUGAAGACGUGGCUGUAUAUGUGAAGAAUACAAACUGAUUUUAACAUUAGAAUAAACACAGCAGAGUUUGAAAUGCCAACUGAAAAUACACAUAUUGUCUCCCCAAACCUAUUAUGUAUUUGUUCAGUGAACCUUGUCAUUGCACCUUUCGAAGGCAGAGGUGGCGUGUGUGCCUCGCCCACACAUUCACGACAGAUCCUCGCUGGCUGCCAUGUUCAUUUGUGAGAAAUAAAGGAAUCUGAAGGUGGUUUGUCCCAUCGUGGCCUUGAUAAAUUAAAAAUUUGCAUAUGUGUGACAAUAGUUUCGCAGUCUUAAGAAAGCAAAUAAGAAAGUGGAAAGCAUUAAAAUAAGUGUUGCCCCUAACAAAGCUUUUAGAAAUGGACAAAUAUGAAUGGUAUUGAUGGAUUUCAAUUGAUUCUUUUUAAAUGUUUUAUUCUGUGGAGUUUGGGAAGUGACCCAAAGCUUUGGGGGAGCUUGUGAGCAGCCAGAGUACUGGUGGCUUUCUGUUUUUAUAGAAGCUCAAGCAAAUCAGCACGUAAAUGCUUCCUGAACAUUUUCUGUUUUCAGGAGACCCGCACGAGAAAACAGCACCCGUAAGUGGGAACAAUGAAGCAAUCUGCUUUGUCUGCUUAUAGGGACUUUAAACGGACGCUCCAGCUAUAAAAUACUAACAAUCUCAGCAGGCCUCCUUUCCUCAUUUCACAAAAUUAAUUUUAAGGACAGUGUCUUAUAGGAGCUCAAUCUUUGUCUGUUCUCUGCACCUCAGAUCUGCUCUUCUUGCCUGAUUUUCUUAAGCUGACCGAAGCUUUCCUGGAAACGAUUGAGGAAAAUGGUGUGGUCCUGGGUAUUCAUGACACUGCCCACAAGGGCUCACUGGCCUGUAGGCUCCAUGCCAGCCACCAGCCCAUCAUUUCUCAGUGAAAAGAACCUUUCAGCUCGGUUACCUCCUGGAGAGAGCUGAUUUUCCAGCAGUCAGGCUUGAUCUGGGUAAAUAAUUAGAGAGCUGGAGAGCGAAGACAUCACCGUGGUGCUGUCUAUGAUUCUGCUAAUAUAGCCAGACCCUGUGAUUCCGUCACUGCUGCAGUCUUAAGGCAGCCUUUCUCUGAGGCACGGAGGGAGGGCGGGAGAGAGAGAGAGAGAGAGAAACAGCAACAAAGCCAGUUGCUCGCAUUUGUCUUGAAAGAACUAAUGACAUUUUUCAUUCUUUUGGUAAAACCAAGAAAACAGCUGCAGCUCUUUAUCUGCAUAUAAGAAGGUGAAUCAAAAUAAGCCUUCCUCUCCCACCACCUUCACCUACCAAAACAUGCAUGCCCCAACGCAAUUACUUUGGCAUAUUGAUUUAUUUUUAAAACUGUAUUGCCUCUAGUUUACUGGAAUUUGUAGAGCUCUAGAUUGUACAAGCAGAUCACAUUUCUCAUAAAGCAGACCCUGAAGUGGUUAAUAGCUUGUUCUUGAACUUUUGCAGCUGCUCAUUAAAAGCCAAUUAAAAAGAAAAAGCACACUGGCUGUUGUAAAGUAUAUGUGUCUCUCUAUAAAUAUCCAUUAUUCUAAAACGUUAUCACAUUUUAUCCCAGCCUUCGGCAUGGUGCCCACGGAUAAAGAAGAACAAGAGCAAAGUAUUAGACAACUGAGGUUCUAGUGAAAUUCCCAAUUUUUCUCCCAUUUGUCUUUUCAGCUGUAACACCUAUGGUUAAUAUGCCAUUAAUUCUUACUGAUUGAGAAUCAUGAUAAGAAGUCCCUUCUGAUUUAUUGAAAAAUACCAGUUGUACAAAUGCUGUUUCAUUGCUUUUGAAAAACAUAUAUAAUUUUGAAUGAAUAAUAAGAAAUAGAAAAAGGCAAUUAAAAUAAUAUUCACAACAGGCAUGUUUAACAUGAUUAUAUGUUAACUACAAAGGUCCCUUAACAAAUAAUUCCCAGACCUACAACUGGAAGACAUAUUGAAGAAACAAAGGCCAUUAGCUUAGGGGGCCUCCCCUGACAGGUGUGGAAGACCCUGACUAUCAGGAAAGCUGGAAGUCAACUCUUCCCCCACCUAGGCUGACCUACACAGAUUUAUUCUUCACAGACUCAGAAUUAGUGAGUUCUUACUAUAGAGUAGAAUGAAUACACACUUUUCCAGCAAAUAUUAGCUGAAUCUUCCAUAGAUAUGUGAUCUUUAGUCACCAAUAUGGCAGGCCUUGCUGGAUGUUGGUUUAGGACAAACCUGGAUGGUCUCAGCCUAUUUAGGGUUAAAUGACUCUUGAGCCAAGGAGUAUGGCACAGUCACACUUCGUAUUUCUCCAGCUAAGAGUGUAUUCAGACUAUAUGUCCCAACUCCUUUUUUUUUUUCAUCUUUUACCCAUUUCAUAAAACAGGUUGUCUUGGAACUGAAAGCAGUGAUAGUUGAUUGAUGUUUAACGUGACCCCUCUGAAUGGACUAAAUGUAGUCCUUUCCUCCCUCUCUUCUUUCCCUCCCUCCCUCCUUCCCUUCUUCUUUCCCCCUCUUCCUCCUUUCUCCCUUCUUCCCUCCCUAAACCCAAGGGGCUUUUCAAGGCUGUUCUGUAGCUGGGCUGAGGAAGAUCUUUGGGGACUAGCCGCCAGGAGGGUACAUGUGUCAAGAAAGAUCGUGGGGUGUCCGGUAUGGGGGGGCAGGAGACUGCCAGGGGCAUUCUGGUCUGGCACAGGAGGACUGAGAAUGUUUUUUGGAGAAUCAUGGGGCAUGACUGUCUUCCUGUCAUGGGGCAGUGUAAGGACUGUGGUAUUUUAGGUGUUAUCAAAGAAACCUCUGGAGAAAAGCAACGUGUAAGAACCCUUUCUCAUAAUGCCACUUGCAGGUUACCGCUUUCAAAGCAAAGCCAGACUCCGGCCCUGCCCGGGGUAGGAAGUCUUUGUCUGCCUGCGCGCCCGAGCGCUCCCGGCUUGGGAUUGAUUUUUGGCCCCCGCUGCAGCAAGUUGGGGGCUGGCGAGGAGUGUGGCAGGGACUGGGGGCGGAGUGCGGACUCGCAUCCGCUGCCACCUCAGGAUUUUUUUUUUUUUUUCAACUUGGAAUUUCCAUAUGACAAAAAAGAAAGAGGUUUCUCUUCAAUCUAACGGAGCCAUUAACAUCUAUUAGUAAUGCCGACAGGGUAAGUAACGGAGUCGCGCUCUGGGGUGGUCGCCCGGCUGCGUGGUCCUCGGCUGGCCUCUGGCAUCGGCUGCUCCUGUGCGCUCCAGGCCGGGUGCGCACGGGUGGCGCGGAGACCCAGCCCAGCUGCCGGCCGCCUGCUCCUCCCCUUCUCUAAGGUAAGGGGUCGUCCUCAAACUCAGCAGGGCUCCGGCGGGCUGAGCUCGCCCCCUCCUCGGACUUCUUUGCGGGGCAUUUUCUCUUGCAGGUGUCUUUACGUGUCAUUUCUCACGGGGCAUUGCCCGCCGCUUUCCUGCAACUGUCCUUUCGGAUUUUGUGAUCUGGUCCCAGCACAGAGGCUCUCCUAAGAGGUGGUGCCCAUGCAUAUUCAUUCUGUCUAGUAACCGGCUGGCCGUCUUGCCAUUGCAGGCUGAUUUAUUGAUUUAUGUAGGAAGUGUGUUUUAUUUUAGUAAUUAGGCAACCCUGAAUUCAUGGGAGCCGUCUGCACUUCGCAGGCAUGUUCAUUGCUGGGAAUGAAAGACAAAGGUUGUCGUGCACCCCGCUUCGUUUUAUAGCUAGUGACCAUUGACUUUGUUGUUUUGUGGAAAGCUAAUUAGGAAUGGAAUAUUUUUUCCCAGAGGAAUCACUGAAAUAAAUAUUAGUGUUUAUAAAGCCCACAGCUUUUUUUUUUCUUCUUUAAAUAACAUUUGACAGGUUACUGCUACUGUGGUGUGUUGUAAAGAUUGGAAAGUGUGGUGUGUUGUUUCAGUUUAGGAAUGAGUCUGGGGUUGAUGUUGUCUGUGGGACAGUCACUGGCAUGUUCCCAUAAAGGUACAUGAAAACAAAUGCUGCCUUUUCAUUACAAAGGAUAUCACAGUGAACAGAGAGACAUCACUUCAACUGGAUUUGCUGUAUCCUUAUUUUAUUCUUAAACUUUGGUUUUCUUCUUUCACAUCCCGCUAUCCAUUCAUCCACAACCCCAUGAUGAAAAAAAAAUCAUCUCCACAGACUCUAAUUUUUUUCAGGAACUCUAUUAUGCCUAUAAACUUGACCUGGAUUGUGUUACUAAUUUGGUAGGUUAUUUUGUCAUACAGGAAAUCACAGCCUAUGGGUCGAUAUGUGCAUAUGAACCCCUCAGCUAAAUUAUCUAAAUUGUUUUUAAAAGAUAUUUUUAGGUCAGUGAACACUUAGCAAAAAUAUCUUUACAGAUCUCGAUAAACCUAUUUUUAGUGUCAGUACUUUAAAAGCUUGCUCAAUGCAACUGGUUCUAAUCAAUGUAAAAUGUGCUUCUAACAAAAGACGUUUAUAUUGUUGAUGAUUAAAUUAUUCUAAAUUUCCUUUAUGGAAAUAGCUGAUCUAAAAACAAUAGAAAUUUCACUGUGUAAAAUACUACUCUGAUUUUUAACUCUAGAAAAUGUAUGUAUUAUUAUAUUCUUGGAGGAAGACGCCGUGUAAGAAUGCAUAACUAAAGUACAGUAACGUUUUUCCUGGGUUCAUGUUUUCUGUAAACUUGCAUAUUUUAUUUGAUAUGCUUCUGUCACUUUUAACAAAUUCACUUAAUUUUUAAUAUACUGUGAAUUUAUAUUACAUAUUAAAUAGAUAAAUAUAAUAUUCAUGCAUAUAUACACAUGAUUUAAUCUAUGGAUAAAACGACAGCCAUUAGGGUGAGAAUAAUGAAGCAUCUGCCUCUAUGAGAAAGAGCGAAAGGGAGAAACCACCCCAGAUUGGUAACUUAUAAGUAACCAGCAUGAAAAGGGGCCAAAAAGCUUUUCUUUUCCUUCAGUUCUUAAAUAAGCUUUUCCUGGUGGCAUCAUAUUCAUGUUGGAGUGAUUAAGUAAAAACAAGAAGACAGAACAUUUCCUAGGCAAUAUGUUGUUUUUAUUUUGAAUAUUUACUAUAAAAAUUUUUGAAAUGCCUUUAUCGUCUGCUGAAAAGUAAUCAUAGAAUUGAUAUUGUUGCAGAUGGUGUGAGGAUAGAUUUUUAACAGUAAUGAUAGUAGAUACGAGUUGGAAUGUGAUUGUUAAGCUUAGGAAAAAAAAUCUAACAUGUAGAUAUGGGGUGUGUUUGGCGUCUUUGUGCUUGUUUUAUAGAAGGCACGUUACCUUUGUCUUCAAACCACAGCACUGAUGUAUCACACAUGGAAGCAAUGUGUAACGACUUAACACAGCAAUAAUACAUUUAGUGUAGUAAGCAGUAGGUCUUGAGGAUAGCAGAAACUUACCACAGAGAAUAUAAGGAAUGAAAUCAUUAGAGUGUUGCUGGGCUGACUGCAUCCUGAGCAAAGAGAUGUUAUGCCUUGAAAUGUGAAUUUUUGAGUGAGCAGACAGUAUGCCCUCCCCUGGCCCACCUUUAGUGGCACUGUGUCUAUGUGGCCUUUUGUUUACUGUAGGUAGAGUUGACACUACAUCCCUGAGGAAGAUUAUGGUGUAUAUAUACAAUCUUUUACUGAUGAUCUGAAUUCUUGUGUAGUCCUAUGAAAUGCAUACACACAAACCCAUUAAUUAAAUAGUAACCCAGGAGAGCAUGUGUUGGUGAAGUCAUUUUUAAAUUCAUUUAAAAGACUGUAAUAGAAAUUUUAAAACACCGCUACAAACCAUUACCCUUCAGAUCACUAGCUGAGACUUUUUUAACCUAGAAAAUGACCUUUUCUCUACCAGGUACUCUUGACCAUUAAAAAGCAUUUUUGUUGUUUGUUUAGGCUUCUAUUCUAAGGAAGAUUAAUAAAGUGGAGUAUCACUCAGUAUCAGAAACAUUUGAGACAAACCUCCUAUUUGAGGUUUGGCUUUGAGGUCAAACUAUUGGUUCAAGGAUUCACUAACAAAAAUACUUUCCUCACUUUCAUGAAUAAUUAAAAGGGAGCUGUUUAAUAGAAAAGCCUGUACCUGGGCAGUGGUAUUGUUUCACGGUCUGCUGUGGUUGAAUCAAGAAGCAGGGGAAAGUCCCUUCCACUUUGCAGGUACUGGUGAUCAGCCCCUGUUUAUCAGGGGGGAGGUUGGGAAUGAAAUUACUGGGGAGUAUUAGAAAUUAUUUGUGUAGGUAUUUACUGAUACAGAAAUCUAUGCACUGUAUUUUUUAAUGUGGCCAAAAGUAAAAUGGAAUUCUUCCAGUGGCUGGCUGUGGGCCUGGGGCAUUCUUGUUAACCACUUAGGAUGUCUUGAAUUUCCCUGAGAAAUUCAAUGGAAUAAAAAGACCUGCCCACACUGGUAGAGUGGACCUCCAUUUGUAGCCAGUAUUUGAUGUUUAGCCAUCUUCUAGUCAAAGCUUUCGCUGGCCUCACUUUCACAUUAUUAUUUUGGGACCAAGAUGAUUUUCUCCCCAAAAGAACUAUGUCUUCUGUAUACUUGAAAAGGGCCUGAUUUUGGUAGUAUUUUGCAGAACUCAGUUCCAGAGAGACAGUACAAUACCUUAGUGGUUUCUUCUUUAUGUAAUGUACAUAUUUUAAGCACUUUAUUUCAGGUCACUGGCCUAUUUUGCUACUCUAGAUGAUUGACCAAUGUUAACAAACCGGACAUACCUUGGAAAGAAUAAAUUAAGAAUGGCUCCAGGAAGCCCCAAAGGCCCUCAGUAACUAGUUUCUAAUAGAUUCAAGGAAAAAUCCUCUUAACCUUUCUUCAGAUUUUAUCCCCAAUACAGUGCUCUCCUGGUUGAUAAUCAAUAAAGACUCAUGAGGGAUUUGACUUGCAGUGAGGUUUCAUUGUCUCUCCCCUCAGAGAAUUUCUCUCUAACAGUCUCCAGGUGGCUGAAGAGUAAAACAAGUCAUUUUCCUCUGUGCUUCAGGAUUACAAUAUGAAAAUCAAGUGUACAGUAGCGUCAAGGUAUUAUUGAAUUAUUAGACAGCUUAUGGUUUUUGAAAUUAAGUAGUGAUAGUAGCAUUGUGGAAUAUCUAGAUAUGCCUGGCAAACACUGGAUACUAUCACUGUGCUUACACAGCCCAGAGAUAAACUUUUCUGAUAUAUUUUAGGCAUAUAUUAUAGCAUAACCUUCACGCCUUUGGAGAACUAUCAUAAGUAAAAUGUGAUGGGUAGGAAAAUAAGACUGUGUGCUCAUUGGGUCUGAGUGCUAAAUUAGGCUUGGAAAUUGACCAGUUUGCCUUUUACUUAACUCCAAAAUCCUUAAGACAGGAACCUGUCCGGGAGGCUAGUUAUAUGGAACAGACACAUUGAUUACACACUGUAGUCACCUCUUUUGCAGACCCCUCUCUCCUGUCCUGAAGAAUUUCCUUUCUUCCAAGCAAGCCAGAGGUAGGAGAAACAAGAGCAAGGGAGGCAAGCAGUGUUGCUGAGGUCCUUCCUCUACUGUAUCAUGUAUAUGCUUGAGCAGGUAACUUGGUACUGCCAAGGGCGUGGAAGGGGAGUUUCCUGUGUGUUGGCACAGCAUGAAUCAAGCAGCCAGGAAAAUGGUGGAAGGGAAACAGUAACUGAGAAAUUGUUUCCUCUGGGCUGUGGGAGUUAAAGGGCCAUGUGAGACCCCUCCUGUUACGUCUCUACCACCAGCUACCUGGAGGGCUAGAUUUCCCUUCCUGGUUUAGCAGACAUGCUCCCUGGUUCCUUCCUGGAAAAUACCAUUAUGGUUACAGACACGACAUUCUUAAGAUGUCGCUCUUGGUCACAAUGACAGUCCAGUAGAACUGGAAUCAGGUUGAGCUAUAUGAAAUUGCUGAUGUUCGGCCAUUUCUGACCUAUAAAAAUGAGAGUUAUUUAUCUCCCUAUUUCUAAUCUUGCUCUACUUCUUUGCACAGCAACCAGAUCAUGUAAUUCCCCUGCCUAAAAAUUCCCACUGGCUUCUCAGUGCACUCAGAAUAAAAUUCAGGCUCUUUACCUCGGCUUCCUUGGAGGUCCUCUAGGAGCUGGCCCCUGCCUGCCCUUCUUCUCCAUCUCCCUCCUCUCCUGCAGGACUCUGUUCCUUCCAGGCUGGUUUCUCAGCUGUUCCUAGAACUCACCAGCCAUUUUGUGCCUUGGGAUCUUUGCAUUUGCCCCUUGCACUCCACAGCUGGCUCAUUCUUACAAUGUAAGCCUCAAUUCAAACUUGACUUGCUCAGAGAGGUUGUUCUGGUCCUUAUAUCUAAAGGAAGCCUUCCACCUAAACCUCCUUAGCCCAUUUUAUUUUCUUCCAAGUACUUUAUUCCUAUCUAAAACACCCUGCUUUUGUUUUUGUAAAUACAAGAUCUCGCCAUGUUGCUCAGGCUGACCUGUCUCAAACUCCGGGCCUCAGGCAAUCCUUCGUCCUCACCUUUUCUGCUAGCUGGGAUUACAGGUGUGAGCCACUGUGCCCAGUUGAAAUUCCCUUUUUUAUUGCCUUACUUCUUAAUGGUUGUUCCCUUUGUGAUGGUGGGGAAAGGAGCCAGCACGCUGCCCGUCUUGCUCUCUGCUGUGUCCCCGCUGACCUGGAGCACAGCAGGUGCUUAGUAAGCAUUUGUUGAGUGAACAUAUUGGACACCUUUGUGAACCACUGCAGCCUCUCAGCUUGCAGCCAUUGCAGAACCUAGUUAUAAGCAGCUGCUGGCAGCUUCCCUCAGGUACAACGAGGGGUGCCCUCCCACGAGGAAUUCCUGCCUCUCACUUCCUGUCCUGUGCUAGCCAUUACCCUAGAGUAGGACCCUCUCCAUAAGGCCUGGCAGAGAUCUACUUUCCCCAUUCAUCCUCUACUGAUAGUUCUGAAACCCAUUUGUUUAGGCUCCCCGGAUUGUCCUUGUAAGAUCCAGUCCAAUCACCCAUAGUGGCAGCCAAUCCAGUGAUGCCUCCUAUACUCUCUUGACCUCCUCCCCCAUUUCAUUCUCCUGUCCCCACUCCUGUUAAACUGUCUGCCUGCCAGCCACUGUUGUAGGCAGUGCUCUUGGGGGAACUCAGACUAAUGAAUGAGAUGAGUACCAUUGCAGAGGCAAGUAAGGUACAAUAGGUGGCACGAUCUUCUUCUUAAAAUAUCUCAUUCACUAAGUUGCUAUACUAUCCCGUCUAUUUGGUAACAGCUAAAAGUUAAAAAGAAGUUACAGUUUUAAGUUAAAACAUUUAAUCCUCAUGGCAACCCCAUUCCCACUGACUAGAAGGAAACUGAGGCACCGUGACAUUGAGUAACUGGCUCAAGGUCCCACAGCAGUCAGGGGCAGAGCUAAGUGCAGGCAAGCCAUGCCCACCUACUCUCUUAACCUUAUAUGACCACACUGUCAUGGCUCAUGUUACUCACAGCCUCAGUCCCUCCUUCUGAGUCUCUCUGUCUCUGCUGUUUUUCUUUGCCUGAAUCCUUAAGGCUCUCAAAGUGGCACACACACCCAAGAUGCCGGGAGACCAUAAUCUAGUGCUAAUAAUUCUUUUUGCCCCAUUGACUACAAGAGUUAACUUGUAACAGGACAAGCAGGAGCCCACACAAAGCUGACCCCAGCAUUCAGACCAGCUGUGUGGUCUCUCUUUUACCCUAAGGAUUGUACUUCUGUGUUUCAGCACAGUAGUGAGGGCUUUGGUGAUGGGGAGUCUGUAUUGCCCUGUCCAGCGUUGGGAGCUGGGACAAGCCCCCUCACCAUUCCUUCAGCCCCGUUUCCUCUUCUCUCCUCACUUAGCCACCUCACGGCAUUUUAGGGAUUGAACAUGACAAAGUUUGUAAAGUGUUGAAGGUACCCAGCUGCUGGCAAGCACUCAGUAGACAGUGGCUAAGAUUGUUCUUUUUGUAGUAGAUAUGGGGUAAAGAUGGGACUUGAGGUGGGCUGGAUCCAGGGAAGGGGCACAUCUUCUCUAUUGUACCUUUGAAAACACUAUCUGGUUUCACCUUGCCUCUAAGCCAGAGAAGAUGGAAGUGCUAGAUAGAAUGAGACAAGGAGAUACCAUUAUCUUUCAUUUCCUCCCCUCCCUAAACUCCCUGCUACUCUGUCUAGACCUGCCUUGGAUUCUGCCUUUUGUUCUAGGCAUCUGGAAGCCUAGGCAUGAGCCCAUGUCUUCUCACAGCCCAUGGCAUGUCUGGGGGACAGGUGGUCUUGCACCAGGAAGCAUGGGUGCAGUCUGUCUGCGAGGCCCUGAGGCCUGCUUGGGCAGCCCCCAUGGGACUGGCCCCUGUGAGGAGGCUGGUUGAGGUCUACACAUCAUCCCACACUGUUGGAGGCAGAGUCUCCAGAGGCACUUCCAGAGCAGAUGCCAGGCUGUUAGGCCACAGGCAGAGGGAAGCUGGGGCCUGGGUGGCACUCUCCAGGCCAUCUGAUUCCUCUGUAGGGACCCUGGUACCUGCUGUGGAUAGGCUUCCCAGCCAGAGUCAGGCUCACUUCCUCCAUGUGUGAGGGGGGUGAAAUCAGCACAAAUAGUGACAAAUGCACUUAAACGUUUCCUUCCCAGUUCAUGCACAUGUAGGUAGACGUAUUUAUUUUCUGCAUACUUUCUGAUUAGAGAUGAUGUGUACUACAUGUGUACUACAUACAUAUUACAUAGUAUUAUAGUUUUUCGUUGGUUUAUAUAUUGAGGGUGUUGCCCACCCAGGGACAUAGGAACUGGAGGAUGUGCAUUAGCUUUGAGAAGAACUGAAGUGGCUUCUCCUGCUGCCUGGCCCUUUGAGUAGCAGGUGAGCCACCUGGAGAUCAGUGGUUAUGGUAGAUUGGCACACGCUGGACUUCGUUUCAGCAUUUAUUUAUGGGGACUGCCAAUCUCCUUCAAUGCUUGGGACUCUUCACUUGACAGAUAUUCAUUGUCUAGACACAGGGCCCUCAUGCAUCAGAGAAGGAGCAUUUCAGGGCAGCUUUAAGUGAUAUCCUGUUGACACUGUUUAUAAAACCAAGGAAUAACACAUUAGGCAAAAGUGACAUAUUGAAAAUAAAAUAUCUUUUGCCAGUCCCUUCCUAUGGAAAAGGUAGAAUCUUUGAAUAGGCAAUGAAUAGAUUGUUUUGGUAUCUCUUAUUACUUUGGAUUUCUAUUGUAAAACCAAGUCACACUUGGAGAAACUAAUUUUCCAACUUUGUCCUCAACUCUGAUGGAAGGUAGCAGGGUCAUUAUUGAGCAGAAGUGACCAGAACAGCCAUUUCUCUUCUUCUAUGUCUUCUAUUAUUGUGCCCAGAAAAAGUACUCUAAAAUAACAUUGUCUUUUCAUUAGAGUCUCUUUAAAUCCUGUUGGUUCCAGUAGCACAUUACCCAUUACUGUAAAGGACUCUGUGACUGAUUUCUCAGGGUGUUUCCUUUAAUAUCAUCUUUACAUGUUGCUUAUGAUUUUGUUGUUCUCUUCCUCAUUAGCAUGUCAAAUCAGGUGUCCCCAAAGCAAGGCUUUUGUCUUUCUCCUGUCCAUCAUUGUACAGGGCUGUAUGUGUUUCUGCCGACAGCUGGAGGGCAAAGCCAGCAACACCUUUUGAGUAAAAAUCUGCAUGUAAUUAAAGAUCUUUUGUAGAUCAGCAUUUGUAGUUCCUUUUCCAGGCUUCGUAGUUCCAGUUUACUUGUAACUCCAUCUUCGUCUUAUUUGAGGAAAUGUCACUGUGUUUUCGAGCCCACAGGAGAACUAGGUCAAGUGUUUUAGAUCUUUUGCUUUGUUUUUUCUUUUAAUCGUAUUUUUGUUUCUAAAAGCUUAAAAGUGAAAAAGAAAAGCAGGAAUAUGGAAAAGUAAAACCAUUAAUUGGUCAUCAGAUUAGAAAUGCAAAAUUGCCAAUAACAUAACAUGUCCAUGUCCAUAACAGAACUAGGACUGCCAUACAUAAUUUAUUCAAAUGCUUUCUCCACUAUUCCCUGUUCACUUUCAAAAGAAGGAAGUGAAUUGGCCUUGUGCACUGUUGAGAGUCACUUUGCAUAUGAAAUGGUUGACUUUCUCACCCCUCUUCCACUUGAUUCUUUGUCCAUGUACAGUACCAUUCUAAAUCUAUCAAUUCCUCUUGGUCAUCAUUUAAAAAUUCACAUUGAUAUCAGCAUAAUGUGAAUGAAAUGCUUUACAAAUUUGCAUUACGAUGGGAAGACACAAAGUAGGCUGGCUUAGGUUACCCUAUGGAGACUCCAUGAGUAUAUCUGUUGGCUUGAUUCCCAGGAUUGUGGUUUAAAUCUGGCCCAGGUAGAGUUACCAGAUGAGAAGUUUAUGUUCAAUCAAGAAAUACUUCAUGGGAAUUGAUGGAUAAAUGGAAAGACAGUGAAGGAGAGUGUCAUAUAGAGCUCCCAGUACUGUAAUCACCCAGGGAUCCAGGAGUUCCUAAAUGGGGGUGAGGUACAUUGAAGACCACCUGGGAAUAAUUUUUUUUUUUUUUUUAAUUUUGAGACAGGGUCUCACUCUCUUGCCCAGGCUGCAGUGUAGCGGUGCAAUCAUGGCUUACUGCAGCCUCGACCUUCCCAAGCUCAGGUGAUCCUCCCACCUCAUCCUCCCAAGUAGCUGGGACUACAAGACAGGGCUUUGCCAUGUUGCCCAGGCUGGUCUUGAACUCCUGGGCUCAAGUGAUCCUUCCACUUCUGCCUCCCAAAAUGCUGGGAUUACAGGCAUGAGCCACUUCACCCAGCCAAGGCUGAUUAUUACACAUUCAGAUCCCCAAGCCACCUCUUCCCAAACCUGAGGUUCUCAUUCAGUAGGUCUGAAGGUGGGCUUGGUAUUCUGUAUUUUAACCGCUUUGGUGACUGACGAGCAGCCUGAUUUGGUUUCUUAGCUUCGGUUUCCACAUCCCUAAAAAGAGGGUAAUAACAUCUAUUUCACAGAGUUGUUGGCAGGAACUGAAAAAUGUGUGGGAAAGGGCCCUGGGAACCGUGAAGCGAGACAGACUAGGACGUGCUGAAUUAGUGGGUUUAAUUCUCAGCCUCCUUCUGAAGGAGUCUCUACUUUCCACCCCAGACUGAGGUUCAAGCCCUGCCCAUGGGUCUCAGGAUGCUGAAAAUAUUUUGUUCCCAGUAGGAUCCUGUUUUCAGUCUUCCUCUUUGCACACCAAAAUGUCAGCAAAGGCCUUCUAGCUCCCUAACUCUGUUCUCAUUCUUAGAUCUCAGCGCAAAAGGCACUUCUUCAAGGGAGCCUUCUUUGUAUUGUUGUUUAAAGCAGUCCAGUGAGAAAGACGAAGUUCCCUAUAGCUAAGAGAUUGUCUGUUCUCUCUUGUAUCCCCAAAACCCUGACUGUGCCUGGCACACAAAAAUAUGUUGUGCGUGGUCAAUACAGGGAGAAGGGAGAAAAGAAAUCAAGGAAUCAGGUACCCUAAAUAGGACUCAACUUUGUGCCUUGUUUUGUGACUUGUCAAUCAACCCAAAAUAAGGAGCCAGGAAAGUUCAUCCACGUAUUCCCACUGCCACCACCUCCCUGAAGCUUUAGCUGUUCUACUGUAGAGCUCAUUAUCUUCCCCCUAGACUCCUUGCAUCCCCAUUUCUGAUAAAAGCACAGCCAGCCAUCAGGCUGUCCAAGUCACAGAUUUUAGCAUCAUCAUUGAGUUUUCCCUCUUCCCCACCGCCCAAGGCCCAUCUAUUCUGCUUUUAUCACUUCUCUGGUUCCAUGCAUAGAAUGUGAAGUUUGGGGCCAGAACUGCAUGGUGAUGGGGCCACUGACACCCGGUAAUUCAGACACAAUUACUCUCAGGCCAUUCCCACACCCUUGCCUGUUCACCCUUUGUCAUCCCAUUCCAGUUCUCAGCUUCCCAUGGGGUCUCCCUGCCUGCAAACACAGAUGUGAUGAUCUCCACCUUGCAUUCUUCUAACAUAGUUCUCAGAGAUGGGGUGAAGGCAGAAACCUGUUCCUUGAGAGCUGUAGGUGACUCAGGGACAGGGGCUGGAUAGUUUAAUGUAGAGUUUUUAAUACUGUCGUUUUAUAUUUGGGAAUGGGAAAAGAACACAGAGAGGCAAACUGGUGGACUUGUGCCACAUAAACCAAAUGAUACCACCCCAACUCCCCUGGUGCACGCACAUGCCUGUGUGUGUGUGUGUGUGUGUGGAGGGGUGGGCAUUUCAGAAUCUCUUGGGAGGGGGUGUGACCUUUUUUUGGUUACUUUUUUAGUAAGGGCACAUGGAUUUAAAAUGGCCAGACAAUACUGGAUUAAUGGCCCUCAGUUGCUCCAAUAAGGGUUUGUCAUUUCUAGGGGGAAGGAAAAGAUAUGCUGCAUACAUAGCCCCAAAACCUGCCACCCAGCCCACCUCAGCUGUACCUUACAUGCAGGGCGCUACCAUUGAGCAUGCAUCUCAGAUCUGAAAGCCGAGUCUCCAGGGGCAGUGAGACAGAACCGGUGCACCCCCAUGUUCCUGCCAUGGUUGCCCAGUUCUGCAGCAUGGCAUUCCUAGCCCAGUCCAGGUGGGCACCCCCACUCAGCCUGCCUUGGCUGCAGAAACUCCCUCCACUCAUGUGGCCCUUCAGCCACUCCAAAGUAAUCAGCUCUUUUAAAGAGGGUCUUAAGCUGGAUUUUGCCAGGGGUGGGAGACAGGCUGCCAAGGUUUGAAAUUUGCUGGCCUUCCGCAAUCCACACCUCUGGCCAAGAUUCCCAGAUCCCCAUCAGUUUCGUGACUUUUCCUCUCUAAUACCACCAAGCCCUGUAAUGCUUUAUCAUAAGAUGUUGUAGGUCUCAUGAUACAGGUAGUUUCUGUUAUUCAUUCCCAUCUUCCUCACUCAAAUCCACCUUUGUGUCUUUAGCACUCCUUAAGGACAGGAAUCCUGGCAAAUCCACCUUUGUGUCUUUAGCACCCAGCACAGUGAGUGGUGCACUAAAUAAAGACUACUAGGUGGAUGGGUGGGUGGGUGGAUGGAUAGAUGGAUGGAUGGGAAGGAAAGGAAGGAAAGAAGCAUUCCUGGUAUUCAUAAGAUGAAUAAUGACAGCCUUUGCAGUUUUCAUGAAAGACAGGGCCAGAGAUACUUCUCUCCUGAAAAACUCCUUUUGAAUAUAAAUGUAACCACCACAGCUGAAAUUGUAAAUUGCGAAAAGAUCAAAAGCUUUGACUGAAGCCCACUUUCUUUUUUUUUUUUUCUUUUCUUCCUUUAUCUUUUUUUUUUUUUUUUUUUUUUUUUUUUUUUGAGACAGUCUUGCUCUGUCUCCCAGGCUGGAGUGCAGUGGUGCCAUCUCAGCUUACUGCAACCUCCGUCUCCUAGGUUCAAGCCAUUCUCAUGCCUCAACUUCCCAAGUAGCUGGGAUUACAGGUAUGCACCACCAAACCCAGAUAAUUUUUUUUUUUUUUUGAGACACAGUCUUGCUCUGUUGCCCAGGCUGGAGUGCAGUGGCACAAUCUUGGCUCACUGAAGCCCCUGCCUCCCCAGUUCAAGCGAUUCUCCCACCUCAGCCUCUCGAGUAGCUGGGAUUAUAGGUUCCUACCAUUACCCCAGCUAAUUUUUGUGUUUUUGGUAAAGACAAGGUUUUACCAUGUGGUCAGGCUGGCCUCCAAUAAAGACCUGCACAGUUACUGUCUGUAGGAAAUCAGUUCGUGUAGCUGGACCUUUUCAUCAAUGCCCCUUUCCUGUACUGUCCCAGGAAUUUCGAGGUGUCCCCCCCAUCUGGUUGCUCUUGCUUUCCCACUCUUUUCUUGAGAUCACUGCCCUUUUUCUAGGGGUGUAUGGCAUUGGCUUCCAAAACUCAUGCUUCUCGGUGGGGCCAGAUCUCAGCCUGAUCUGAUGUCUGAGCAAGGGUGGGGCUGGCACAGUGAACAGAUACAACGUGGGUGUGGGCUGUAGGCUACACUGUGUUUGGUGGGUAUAGGAGGCUUUUAGGAUACCAGGCUUUCAGCCACUCUGCCUCAAUAAUUAAAUAGUCCCUCCUCCCACAGUGACUUAUGGUGAGGUUGCAGGAAUAAGAGGGAAUUCACUUUUUGGCCUUCUUUAAUAUUAUUCCUUUAAGGAACAUUAGACAUUAUGAUAGGAAGACCAAAAAUCAAAGACAAUAUUCUACUUCAGAUCUUUUUUAAAAGAGGGAAGAUAUGGGUAUAAAAUCCCACUCAGUAAAAAUUCUCAUAGCUACAUGGAUUUAAUACUCUUUAUUUCAAGGUAAAUUUCAAUUUCUCAUUAUUUAAAUUCAGAAAUCUUAGGCUGUCACCAACAUUUCAGACAAUUUACUGUUUUACAAAAUAAUAUUAAUGAUAAUAAGACAACAGUAUAGUGAUCCUGAAUGGUUCUCUAACUGAAUGUCACAUAAAAAAUAAUUGUUUAGAGGCCAGGCCUGGUGGCUCACACCUGUGUAAUCCCAGCACUUUGGGAGGCUAAGGCAGGCUGAGCUCAGGAGUUUGAGACAAGCCUGUGCAACAUGGCAAAACUCCAUCUCUACAAAAAAUACAAAAAAAAUUAGCUGGGCCUAGUGGUGCACACCUGUAGUUCCAGCUACUUGAGAGGCUGAGGUGGGAGGAUUGCUUGAGCCCAGGAGAUCAAGGCUGCAUUGAGCCAUGAUCACACCAUUGCACUCCAGCCUGGCGACAGAGCAAGACCCUGCCUCAAAUAAUGAUGAUAAUAAUAAUAAUAGUGGCCGGGCACGGUGGCUCAUACCUGUAAUCCUAGCACUUUGAAAGGCCGAGGCAGGCAGAUGGCCUGAACUCAAGAGUUCGAGACCAGCCUGGGGAACAUGGUAAAACCCCAUUUCUACUAAAAUACAAAGGAAAUUAGCCAUGCAUAAUGGUGUGUGCCUGUAGUCCCAGCUACUCGGGAGGCUGAGGCAGGAGAAUAGCUUAAACCUGGGAGGCAGAGGUUGCAGUGAGCCCAGAUCGUGCCACUGCACUCCGCCAUGGGCAACAGCGAGAUUCCAUCUCUAAAAAUAGUUUAGAAACAAGGUUUUCUCGUGGAGAAAAUUCUGAAGGCUUUUCUCUCUUUCCCCAUUGUCUUUCAUUUUCCAAUCAGAUUGCAGAGGUGAUUCCUUUAGCCUUUUAGUCAGCAGUUUUGAUAUUCUUCAAAUCCAGUAUCCACCUUUUGCGUCUUGGUGUUGGAGUCAAGCCUCUGUUGCCAAGUUUUUCUGUUCUGCGGCCACCAGUACGCGCUUUGGAGAGUUCAGUGCCUUCGUGAAUGCGUCUUUUCUAUAACACCACCGCUUUUUACAUCAGCUAUAUGGCACACAUUCUCUGAUUCUGAAAGGCAUAUAUGUUCAUUUUAGACCAUUUGGAAAAUACAAAAAAACUCUGAAGGAAAAAGAAGCACCAGCCAGAGUCAUCCCCCUUAGGGAUAUGACUGAUAAUCCCUUCACCUAAUUCUCCUCGUCUUGGUCUGUACAGAUAUGAGCCAUAAAUUCAAGGGCAGCCCUACAUGCAGAUUUAUAUCCUGUUUUCUUCCAAAAGGAAACUUUUAUUUUGAGCAUGUUCUCAUGAUAUUAAGCAUCCUCUCUGAACACGAAAUGUUAAUAGAUAAAUAAUAUUCCACCAUGUGGAACUACUUGAAUGUGAUCGUUCAUCUACCGGUGGACAUUUAAGUUGUUUCUGUUUAUCACAAGCAUGAACAGUGGUUGUUCAUUAGUGGACCUUCAUGCAUGUCUCUGGCCAUGUACAUCUGCUCCUGUAACUUUGUAAAUUGAGGUUUAUUGUACGAGCAAUAAAACACACAGACCGUUAGUGUACACACCUAAAUAUGGAUACACCUAUGUGAUAUGCCACAUGAAAGUCUCCUUUUACAUUUCCCUGUACGUUAAUUUUGCAUUUGUUUGUUUAUGAGUAUUCAAAUACAAGCAGUUGCCAGGAACUUUUCAUGUAUGGUCUCAUUUUAUGCUCAUGGGCACUCUCUGAUGGAGAUGCAGCUGUCCCACCUAUCCACUUGAGACCUUUAACACUCUCAGCACCUGAAUAGCUCGCCCAAGGUCAUAUAGCAAGUCAGAGUGAAGUCAGGGUGAAGGCGUUUGGAUUUACAUUUUGCCUGCACACAGAAUUUUAAUUCUGUAUAUUUUCUCUUAGAUAAUUAAAAAUAAAAGCUGCCAAUAUCCUUCGAUAAAAAACCAUUGAAUUUCAUUUUGUUUGUUUUUCCCUUUACAACUACACUUAGGGGUCAGUAACUGACCACACUCCUUCUCCUGGUUGUAGCUUAUGUUUAAAAUCAGCAGGGAACUGGCAUUGCUGCCUUCUGGUUUUGGUCAUGCAUUUUUCUCAGGGCUGGAAGGCACCAUUGACUGUCAUGGAGCUACAAGCCCUCACCUACCCACUCACACCCCUCCCACAGACUCAGGCUUUCCCCAGUUCUGUUACUGCAGAGAAGCACUUCUGAGCACAGAAGCUGAUGACAGCCACUUAGCAAGUUGUCUUGGGCUCUGUUGCCAAAGCACAGGGAGAGACAACCUCAGUUAAGGUGCACAAUUUAGACUGGGGACAUGAGAGAAACUUCUGGUCCAUUUUCCAGCCUGCCUAAUUUACAAAGAUGACACUGAGCCCAGUUGUCUGCCUGGGGAGACAGGCCAUUAAGAGCCGGCCUGAGCCUGGAACUCAAGGAUGUCUGCCUCCCAGCAUCUCAUCAGAUCAGUGGACACACACUUGGGGUAGAUGGCCUGGGCCUGUCAGAUGUCACACUGCUUCUUGAGGACACAACCUGAUUAAAGGCAGUCAGGUUGAAUAGCAUCCCAAGUGCAUUCCCACUGAUGGGAAAUUUAACAAGACAGGAAAAAUUGUCUUACCCAGACCUCCUCAAUGUAUGUGGUUAAGAGGACUUCUAGGGCAAGGCGUUUGGGGCAGGAUGGGGUGAGGACUCGUCAGCCCCUCAAGGAGCAGGCUAGAUUAGGUAAUCUAUGAACUGCCAUCCAAGGUAUGUGUCCAGUUAACCCCAGGACUCUGGUUCACUGCAUGGGUUGUGCAAGUUUGGGGCCAGCAUGGCAAUGGGGCCAUCUGCCCCCAGUAAUUCAUACAGAGCAGCAGGGUUUGAGGCCUGGUUUAAGUAUGAGCAAGUUGCCCUCCUUCUAUACCAGCCCCCUUAUUCCAUCCAGCCCAGGGCCCGUGUGUGCCCAGGAGGAUGUGCUUUCUUUGGGUCCUUUCAUCCUCUCUGGAAGUAGAGGUGUUAGGAGGCUGCUCACCAAACCACCUGUGCCUCUCAGCUAGUUCCUGUCUUCUCAGUGGGGCUGAUAGGCAUGAUGACAAUACCACCUUAGGGAAGUGGAGAGAAUUAAAUAUGUUGGUGGCUACAGAGCAUGUACAGUGGUGCCCAGCCCAGUAAAUGGUAACUACUGGCUUUUAUUUUCUUCUCGACUAUCUCUGACCCUUAAUUCUUCUACAUUCCAUUUUCCCUUGUUUCUCUGAUGCCUUUCACACUGUUACUCUGAUAAAAGACUUAAACUCUGCUAUUCUGUGAAAUUGGUAUUAUUUUACUUAGAGUUAAACUUCCUCCCAUUUUUUUCAUGUUUUUCCAUAAUGUUUUGCAUUUUUUCUGUUAUAGGACUUAAAGCCUUGGUGUAAAAGUUGCAGUCUCUCACUAGACAAUGCUUCUGGAAGGGAGGAGCUGCUGGAUACCCAGCGCUUAGCCAAGAUUCUGGCCUAGAGCAGGUGCUAGCAGAUGCUUAUUGAGUCAAUAAUUUUCCUUACAAAUAACCCUUAGAAAGACAAGGUCACUGGUGGCUGGGGGAUGUCCUCAGGUAAUCCACACAGACACUUCUUUGCAACAUCAUGUUAUCACUGUCAGGGGCCACCCCUUCCUUCUUUCCCCUAGACUGCCUUACUUCUGAAGUCCUUUUCUUUCUUUCCUUUCCUUUUCUUUCUUUUGUUUUCUGAGACAGGGUCUCAUUCUGUCACCCAGGCUGGAGUGAAGUGGCACAAACACAGCUCACUGCAGCCUUGACCUCCCUGGAGUAUUUUAUCCUCCCACCUCAGCCUCCUGAGUAGCUGGGUCUACGCAUGUGACACCAUGCCCAGCUAAUUUUUGUAUUUUUGGUAGGGAUGGGGUUUCACCAUGUUGCCCAGGCUGGUCUUGAACUCCUGACCUCAAGCAAUCUGCCUGUCUUGGCCUCCCAAAGUGUUGGUAUUAUAGGCGUGAACCACUGUACAUGGUCUGAAGUCCUUUUCUUAGCAUAAGUGAUUUCCUUUGCUGCAGAUGAAAAAAAAAUAAUAAUGUUCUUCUUCCAUCUCUUCUAUUCCUUUGCUGCAAAGGCAAAGAGAGGAGAAGAUGCCAGGGGCAAAACAUGCAUUCAAGACGUCUGUUUUCUCUUUCUAGCCUACGACUUGAAGGUGGUAAGAAACCAGCCUGUGUUUUUUUCCCCCUUCUGGUUUGUAGCAUCUCUAAGAAGGGGAUAGAAAGUCAGCAUUCCUUAUUUGUUGAACUGGCUGCUAGUAUAAAGGAUCUGGGGCACCCGGGGUCAGUGGAACUUGGCCACCUCAGCGCCUUAGAGCUCAUGCCAGCUCAUCUUCUCUCACCCUUCUGGUGUGAGUCAGUCAUCUGGGAAAUUCUGAUUUCGUAGCUGGGCUACUGGUAGAAUUGACUGCUGUUGCAGAUUAAAGGAAAAAGGGCUGUUUAGCCAUCUCAAUAAAUGUAUGAAAAGCUUCUGAUAGAAAUUUGAUACCUAUUCCAAAUUUUUAAAAAAUUAUUUCUAGUGUGAUGAGAGGACCUUAUAAAGGGCAUCUAACAAAAACACCCAGUGUACAUCCUGAACGGUAAAACAUGCAGAAAUACGGCAAAGGUGCCCAACUUUACCGCUUCUCUUUAGCAUUGUGUAUUGGGAGUCUCAGCCACUAUGACACAACAGGGAAAAGACAUAAGAGGUAUAGAGAUUAGAAAGGGAAGAAGUUUCAUGUUUUUCAAACCAUAUGGUAGUCUAUGUAGAACAUCCAACAUAAUCUAAAUGAUUUGAACUAUUCUGUGAAUUCAGAAAGUUUAAUGGAUACCAGUUUGGUAGCAUUGCUAAGUACUUACAACUUCUUAGUAGAAAAUGAAAUGUAAAAGAUUUCAUUGUAAAAACUAAGAAACAAAAAUCUAAUAACAAAAAUGUGAGAUGUGUAUACGGAUAACUUUAAAAUGUUUUGAAAGCCAUAAGAGAAUGACUAAAUAAAUGAUAAUAUAAAUGAAUACUGUAAAAAUGGCAAGUUUCCCCAGAUUAAUUCAGUUUAAUUUAAACAAAAGCUUCAAAAAAGUUUUUCACAGGAUUUAACAAGCUAAUCCUGAGGUUCUUGCAGAAGAGUAAAGGGCCAAGAAAAGCCAAGACAAAGAAUAAAGAAGGUAGUCUUGCCCAAGUAAAUAGGAUUUUUUAAUAAAGAUAUUUUUUAAAUCAGGUAUUUUUCAGAGAUCAACAUGUCCUAUUUGGUUUAUCUAGUCUGACCCUCUGGCCUAGGAAGCACAUCAGAGUUAUAUUUCAGAGGUGGCAUUGUCAAUCAGUGGGAGAAGGGAACCAAGUCAGUCUUCUGUGCUAGGAUGACUGAUUUUUCACAUAUGGAAAUAUUAAAGUGGAUAGCUUUCUCAUACCUCACAACAAAAAUAAAUUCCAGAUGGAUUUAAGACCUGAAUGUGAAAGACAAAGUUUAAAAAUGUUUAGAAGAAAAACAGGCAAAUAUUUUUAUGACCUCAAGGAGGGAAAAUUUUCUUACACAAAAAGCACAAAAGAUAAAAGGAAAAGAUUAAUAAUUUCAUGACAUAAAAGUUUAAACUUAUGAAUGACAGUAGAAACCAUUUUUAAGAGGUAGAAAAACAAGCCCUUCACUGGGAGAAGAUAUUUGCAACAUGUAACAUACUAAUUCAGGCUACCCAAAGACCUCCUAGGAUUCAGUAAGAAAAUCACUAACAAACCAGUCAGAGAUGGUCAAAGUAUAGGCAAAAGCUCUUUGCAGAAGAGGAAAACUGAAUAAUCCAUAAACAUGAAAAGAUGCUCAAUUAGUAAUCAGGAAAAUGCACAUUAAAGCCUCCAAAAACAACCAUUUUACAGCCAACAGAUUAGUUAACAUGUUGACAUCAGACAAAACUGAGCGGAAGCACUGAAGUAGAACCUCAUACCUGGAUGGCAGGCUUUUAAAUUCAGAUGGAGCUACAGCAUCUAGCAAAUCUGAAGACCACCCCCUACCCAGCAACUUCAUUUUGGUUUUCUACUCUGGAGAAACUCAUUUAUUUGCACAACAAGAUGCACCAAGGAUGUUAAUCACAGCACCUGUGAUGGAAAAAAUAAAACCUGAAUUAUCCAUCUAUAGGAGAUGAAGACAUACUUUUUUGGUGCAUAUAAUCAAUGGAAUUUGGAGUGUCUCUCAGAAUGAUAGGGAUCAAUAUGGGUAAACCUCAGAAAUAUAGUGGUGACUGCAAUGAAGCCAUUUAUAAAAGAAACUUUUGUAUUUUUGUAUGUAUAUGAGGUUUAAUUCUAUGCAAUACAUAUGUGUAGGUAAAAAGGUAGACAUUGGCCAAUUCCUAUAGUCCAACCUAAUACAUAUAUAAUAUAAAUAUUAAAAGGGAAGGGAAGGUUACUUUCCAACUUCACAAUAGUGAUUGCUUUUGGAGAGGGUGGGAGAGGAAUGGAGUCAGUUAAAACCUACAAAGGGAGUUUUCAAAUGAGUCUGUAAAGUUUGAUUUAGCACACGAAACUGGAGCAUGUGGCAAAUGUGAACACUUGUGGAAGCUGAGUUGUGGGUACUUGGGUAUUUUUCACUUUAUUCUCUGUACCUUUCUUUGAGUUUAAGGUAUGUCAUAAGUCACACACAAAAAAAAAAAAAGAAAAGAAAAGAAAUUCAUUGGCCUGAAAGGUCAGUGAUAGAGCGCAUGCAGAUGUGGUUCAUGUGGGUUCUUGUUCUCCUUUUGUGCUUCAUUCUCAGAAAAAAGGCAAGGUGGGUGCAGUCAUUUCUGGCCUGGCCAUGGAAUGCAACAAUAGCCGAAGGAGGAGGGGGGCUUCUGGUGUCUCCCGGAAGAGUGUGGGACCAUCUUUCUCAGAAGCUCCUAGAAAACUUCUGCUCUAGUCCCAUUGGUCCAGGGUAGGUUACAUGUCCAAUCCUAAACCCAACUAUGGGGCCAGGAGAAUGCCAGCAGUUGAUGGCUGAGGCCUGUAUUCCUAAGCCAAUCAUGCACAAGGGCAUUGAAUUACUCAUAGACCUGAUAGGUCCUUGCAAGAAGCUGUAGGUGAAGAUUGGGUGAGUUGUGUAGGGGUCAGGGAUGGAUUUGUAAGAAAGCUAGCUGUCUGUUAGAAAGAGGAGAGGGAAAAUGGAUGCCGAGAAGGAAUCCAACCCAACAAUGUCUACCAAAGGAAAGAUUGUCAGAGGUGAGAUCCAAGUAUAAGGGAGUGUUGAAAUCUAUGUCAUCAGAUUGCUUUCUUAAACAAUUGAAUUAAUUUUCAUUUCCACCAGUGAUGUUGAGCCAUCCCCAGUCUGACCCACCAGCAGUGGGAUUUCUCACCUAUCAGAUUGGUAAAAAUUAAAAAGUGUGACAGCCAUAGCGUAUUGUUGCUGUGAUUUGCGUUUCCCUGACAACCCCUAAGGUUGGGCAUCCUUCCUCGUGUUUGUUGGCCAUUUGAAUAUGCUCUUUUGUGGACUAUCAAUUCACAUCUCUUGCCAAAAUAAGAAUUCCUGUCAUCAAGCUUUUAGACUGCAUAGGAUCUGAAUAUGUUUUAAAGGCAUCCUCUGAGCUGGGAGGUGAAAAGUGAUUAUCCAUAUCUGGAAGCAGCUUGGUGUGUUGGUAGUAAGAAUUAUUCCACAACCAAGAUACCCAAGAUUCUUGUCCUCAGUACUCUGCCCCAGUCACUUGUCACAUUAGGGAACUGAGGCCCAAAGAAGGAAGACAACCUGCCUAUAUGUAAAAUGAAAGGCCUGCACUAUUAUUUGUAAGGGGCUUUCCAGCUGUGUUACUUCGUGCUACUGGUUUGGACAGGAUUGAAGACCUCUGUCUGCCUUUGACUCUCUGGAAAUUAAAGUUUUUCCUUUCUACCUUGUAGUGACCCUUCACUGAAUAAGGCAAUCUCUGUGGCUAGAGCCUGCCAUUCUGGGCAAAUUAGAGUCCUUGACUCAACCUGUAGUGCUCAGCAAAGUUUUUGUUCCAUCUUGGAUUUCUCAGUCAGGGAAAAAAAGCUUUUGCUCAUUUCAGCCUUCCCUCCUCGCUCCAAGUUGUUCCGUGUAGGGUACAGUUGGGAGAUUCUGGUUCUAGAGGUAGAAGAGAACUUUAUAUUUUCAAAGCAGCCCUAUAAAAGCACAGCCUGACUUUAGGGCCAGUGUUUGAUUUCAAAGCAGCAAGGCAACAAACCUUCAUCAAGUUAUCUCCAAUGUUUACUUGCAAAUUUUGGAAGAAGCCUGUUAGCGUUUGAGGAUUGUGAAAAUCCACUUGGCAUCAUCUUUAUUGACAUCUAGACAGGAAAAAUGCAGGUUGUGAAAGUCAGCUGGCUGGCACAUGCUGGGGGAGUGUUUGGGAGUGGAUAUGAUGAGGGGAUUUCCCCAGGUUAGGAAGCUAACUGAGUACUCAGUGCUCCUGAGUACCUAGAAGUAGGCAGGAAAGAGCAGAGCACCAGCUGCCCUCUUCUCCCCCCAUGGCUGUGUGUCCAGGGCACAUUAAAUGAUGGGCCAGUCCUACCAAGAGUAACUCCUACCUUCUUGCCUCCCACAACUCCUAGACACAACCCUGCUGUUGGUAUAGGGACUUCAUGGAGCUGAGUCCUUUCUGCAGCUUGGAGAAAACCUUCUUCCAAGUUCCUACCUUCCUACAGAGUAGGACAUGUAGACAAUUCCAGUAAUGCCCAACCCACAAACCUCACCACUCUGUGGCCAACGUGUAAACCUCCCAUCUUAGUGUUACCAAAGCACGCCACUCAGAAUGGCAGAUGGCAGGUCAUUCCAACCAAUAGGUGUGGGUUUCUGGGCCAGACUCUCCUCUCAGGAAUUUGCUGUCUUUUCCUUAAUGGCUAUAAGGAUGGGGGAAACCAGAGAAGUCAUUGUUAUGGUAUUUCAUGAACAUGUGUGGUGCUCUUAUUUUCCUGGUUUUAACAUAAUAAGACUUGUUGCUUUAUGUUUUCAUCUAUUCUUCUUGAGAAAUCAAAGUCAUUAUUUGUAUACAGUGGUUUCCAUUGAAACAUUAUCCAGCACACAGUUCUAGACAUAUGUAGUCUGUUUCUCAAGGCAGGGUUCAGUUGUGAUGCGAAUAAAAAGUGAGACCCUGUAACUUUGUUCUCUCCAAAGCUUAAACUCAUGUUGUUCAUUAUAACGGAUGUCCACAGAGUGUGCACCAUGUCCGGAUAGCUGUCCUCAGCACUGGAUUGAUUCUGAUCAAUCAAAAGGUGAUUCUUCCUCAUUAUUAAUGAUUUAGAAUUUGAGAUCUUAAUAAAGAAGAACAAAGAUGAUAUUUUAACUUAUCUUACCAAAUACAUUAUUUUUGGAUAUUUUCUUUUUCACAUUGUAGAGUUAUCUUUUUUUCUUUUCAAAUCCAGUCUUGCUUUAAAAAAGUAAGAAAGUAGAUUCUGUGUCCUUCUUAAAACCAACUCCAGCUUCUUCAUUGCCUGCAGGAUAGAAUGAAAAUGUCUUAGCCUGUGUGGUGCUCCCCAGGCAGGCAGCCUCUUCCUCUGGGCCUAAGCACUUUGGACUUGUCACCCUUCCCAGUCACACUGUGCUUCUGUGGACCCCACGAGCUGACUGCUGUGCUGGGAAAGUCCCUCCAGCCCCAGCUGCACAGGCUGACCAGUUCCCUCACGCAUCACUAUCCAGCCCCAAGGGCCAGCCCCCGACCAAAACCUUUGUGUGCCCAUAUUAAGCAUUCCUCUACAACCCCCUGCAAUUUGUUCACACCUUCAUGAGAGCACCUUAGGUUAAUGUUCUCUGCUCACUUUCCUUUUUGCUCACUGGCCUGUGAGUUAUUUGAAGUUAGAAGCCAUCAUUACUUUAAUCUGUAUUUCCAGCAUCUAGUUAAAAAAGAAAAAAAAAGACGCCUCUAAAACAAAUCACUAGAAUAUACACAGUUAUGUCUAUACCUCAGUGAUGAACUUCAGGCUGUUAAGUGAUCAUUCAUUCAUUUGUUCAUUCAUUCUUCAGUAGAGGGAUGUGUUCUUACUUUCUGCUAGCACUGGAUGUUAGAUGAGGUCCUGGAAUCCCAGACACUCUUAGAGCCUCUACUUUGCAAAGAUGGAAUUGAAGGUUAAUAGACAUUUUAUGAGACGUUGUUGUGGAGUCACAUUAAUUUAGGGUUGAUUAUUUUUUAAACUUCUAACCUCCAUUACUCCCCAGAAUUGAACUCAAAUGAGUUCUCCCCUGUCACUCAGAACUUGUUUGGAGGAACUAGAAAACCAUGCAGAUUCUCAGCACCUUUUAUUCACGAUUUUAAAGGCAAAUCUGGAUGUGGUAUUACACCAAGGUGUUUUUAGCUUUCCUAAAUGUCCUAAUCGACAUCAGAUUUUUAUGAAAACAUUCAAAAGCCUAUGAUUAUUAUUACUCUGACCACUGUCUAUUUAUAUUUACAGAGUGCUGAGCAGAAAAAGAAUUGCCAAAGCUUUUCUAUUUAAUCAUCCUCUAGACACACCAUAUAAAAAAUAGGGAAGUGGCUCAUUCUCAGAGGUUCCUUGGCCCUCAGCCAACCAUGAAGUCCCCCGUUACAGCCACCCUGAGUCUCUCUGUGGGAAGGGACUUUCAGCCCGGGAAAGAAUGAGUUUCUGCUGGUGACCUGCCAGGUGCAGGUGGUUGAGUCCACUCUACACAUCUGGUUGGGGAUUUCCAAGGUGCUGGCUGGUGGAGCCUUUAUGCAUGUGAGGGGGUGAAUGGUGGAGAUUUCUAGACCACAGCCCAGGAAGCUUUCCAGGUGGUAAAAUAACAUCAGCCAUAUUAUGCUGUCCACUUUUUUCUCUCAGGUGUUUAAACUCUAGAUCUCCAAAGUGAGGUAUACACAAUAUAAUCCAGUGUGGUGCUGGAAAAAUACAGACCAUUAGACUAGAACAGUUCUAUUCUCACACAUUUGAUAAUGGACUUAACAUGUAGCCACUUUGUGAAUAAAUACACAUAUGUUCGUGUUAUUAUCACCGUUUCUUUUUACCAUUGAGGUCAUGUGCUCAAACAAGUUUAGAGGCUACUUUGUUAGCCAGUCGCCAUUAAUCUGGAACAGAGAAGGUUAAUUUUUGGUGGAAUGGAUGAAAAUGUUAAGAGACUUCAAACUAAGUAUCAGUUUUAUAAUCAAGUAUGAUAAUCUUCCUCGCAGCAUUGUAUGGUAUGUUGGUGUGAACUUAGUAGCCCUUGGGUUCUUUCCUGCAGAAGUCUAAGGGUAUAAGAUGACCUAUUUUCUGUAUAUUGUUAGCCUCUGUAUGUGCAUAAAAGAAUGAAGGACUUUCUAAAGGGGGCACAACAUAGCUAGUGUUAUCAUUCUAUAUGAUACAAAAAUGGCAGAGGAAGAGGGUCAAGGGACUACCAUUAAUAUUUUGCUGUUUCAGUAUUCUUUCUAUAAGUAUUUCCAUACAUUUUUGGUUCACCAAAUUAUGAAUAUGUUGAAUAAUGUUUUAUAAGUUAGUUUUUUCCACUAUAUAUUUUUCCUUGUCAAAGGGUAAGAAUAAGACAAUAGGAUCAUGACUGUGAAGGUCAUUUUUGGUGGUUCGACCUCUUAGUUCCGAGACUCCAACCCUGGAAAGUCUGCUCUUGUUGCUUGCACUUGCUUUGUAAAUCCAAAAACCCUAGUGCUUUGCAGGCAGAGUUACAGCCUCCACAUGCACCAUGAUUCAGGUAGACCAGGGAGUACCUCCUUCUUUUAGUACUAAAAACACCUGAGAAAACUAUACGGAGAAGAGAAGGCUUUGAAAGAUGCAUAUAGACUUGACUUGAACCUGGAGGUCCUCCCGGCGAGGUGGGGCCUUAGGCUCCCCAGGCUGAGCUGUAACCAGCUGUGCCAAGCAAUGACCUACUUCUUCCAGUUCCACCUUCUCCAUUAAAAGAAUUCUGACUGCUUCAGAGAAGAUUCUUGUCCCUCUAUCCCCACCCCAGACAUAGGCACCAGGUAAUAUUGAACAUGAAAUAUGCUUUUAUGAGUAUCCUUUGAUUCCAACAAAACUAAGAACAAAAAUCUUGGACAGGAAAAUAAAGCAUGAAGGUACUUAUGCCACCAUUAGUAACUUAGUAACUGCCACCAUUAUUAACAGGACACGAUUAAUGGGUACCGCUAAGGUCCAUGGCAUAGACAAAGUAGGCUGCCCAUCAUGAGCAGUUCCCUGGCAAUCACCGAAAUUCACCCCCUUUCCCACUCCAGCAGGCUCAUCAGAAUGCAAGGGAUGUGAUUAUAUGGAUAGACCUGGCAAUGAUAUUUUUAGAAGCAAGUCUUAUUCUUAAAAUGUUAACACUUUAUUAACUCUUAUUAGUUUCAAGUUACUGUGUGAUACAGCACUGUGCCUCAAAAAUCUGACUGUGGAUGAUAUCUUCUGAUUACCAGUGUUCACUGCUGAUUCUCUGUAACUAGUGAAACCUGCUCCAUCUCCACAGGGAGGGGCUUAGGACCUGAAGAAACCUUGUUGGAUUUUUGCAACCCAGCUGGAGUCCACAAAUAUUGUUAGCAUCCGCAUUUUUUACACAGCAUUCAGUUAAUAGCAUGGACAUGUUUCUGGAAAGCUGCUGAUGCCCAUCCCUCUGUUAAGCAUCAGGUUCCCAGGAUCAAAGGAGCAAGAGGGUCUUAGGCAGUCUUCAGAGUAGUCUCUGGGUUCCACCUUUAUUAACCAAGGGAGGCUUGUGGCGGGGGUUGAGGAGGUGAGCCAGCCACCACACAAGCAGUUUUAUACCCUGUGUGACUUCCUUAGUUAUCUGUGGAAUGCAGUUUGUCAGGAAGGUUCUGACUUGCAAAUAAUUCAAGUUUUAUCAGUCCUCUCUCGUAGCCAGUCCCUCAAUUUUAAUCAGUUUAGAGCAACCUAAGAGGUCUUUGAUGAAUGGUCAUUUCAGUUCUGUGUAAAUACUUCUGAAUUGAAACAUUUCUCUAUGAACCGCCCAGAUAAACAAAGGGCCCACUAUAUUGGGUUUUGUUGGUAUUUUUACCAAGUUCGUUGAGCAAGCCUUCUUCAUACCAGUCCAUUCUUGGAAUUCUAAACAUGACUAAUGGCAGACAUCUGAAUGCUACCUAUAAGCACAAAGCUUUUGUAAUCUAAUUCCUUUAGUGGUGACCCUAGGCUUGUGGUCCAAAAGCUGUUGCUGAGGAUAUUGCUCUCUGGGCUUGGCCUGGGGAUUUUCCUUGUCACUGUAGGAUGUACAGAAGUGAGUUGCUGCCUGAUAUCAGUGCUGGGAGGUUUGAGGUUGCAUGUGAUUGAUUAGUCACGUCUUCCAUGGGCACAGAUGGGAGUGAUGACCUGCUGUCAAUCUGUCACCCCCAGAGCCAACCUACCAAUAUUAGUUCUUACCCCACCAACACUUGAAGCAAGCCGCUGGGGGCUUCACAGCAACUUGGUGAGGGGUCUUAUUAGUGAGGGGCUUACCUGAGAUCACCAAGAAUGGGCCUUUGACCUCUGAGCAAUGUCUGACCAAAGCAUUUCUUCUUUCCCAAAUGGAAGAUGUCUUUUCUACCUUGGAGCCUGUUUGCCUGGGUUUUCAAGGUCAUUUCAGCAGUGCAAAAACUCUGCAGUUCUGUGAAAUGUCUUCCAGAUCCAAGCACUGAGUUGAUUGCUGUUCUGUAGGCAGAACUGUCGGGUUUGAUCAGGGCUUCCCCCACAAACCUUUCUCUAUCAAAGAUAAGAACUUUUAAUACAGAUUAAACCCCACAGCAGCAAAUUCCAGGAGACUGUCUAGGUUCAUCACUUGUAUUAGAACAUGAUGGCACCAAAGUAUUGACUGGGGCUUAGAGAUGUUAAACAGAGAUCUUCUGGUAAUAGUUUUUAUAAGAGGAUUUGAUUAGAGGAUAAAAUGGAUGAUUUUGGCAAACUUGUGUCUUUGCACUAACUUCUUUAAAACUAGAGUAAAUAAGUAGAUAUUUUUAUUUUAUUCCUUUGUAAUGUAUAAUUUCAUAUAUCAUUACAUAAAGUCCCUCUUGGUUCUCAUCAGAGAGAUUUUUCCUGCUUUUAAAGGAAUUGUAUCUAUGAUUUCAUUCAAUGUUAUUUUUUUCAGUCUUCGCAUUUUAAGCAGGACUUAACCCUCACAGGUUGGAAUGCUUAAUCCAAUUUCAGGUAUCAAUGUUAGUCCACUCAGAAAUCAACAUAUCAUUAAACCACUGGGAUUCACGUGUGAAAAUACAAGGGCCAGUGGUGGAAGGGCAUCUGUCUACAUCGUGUGCUCCUUGGACCAUGCUAAGUGGAGAUUACCAGAGUGUAGAGAAGAGAGCAUUUGGUGGGGACAUUGGCACCCUCUGGGCACCUUUACAUUUCUGUGACAUCCACACUGGUGCCUGUCACAGAGGGGCAGUGAGUCAGCACAAGGUGCUGCAGAACAGGCCAUCUUGAGCAGAAAGCCAAAGUGGGCCCAUUUGUUUCUUGGGCCUCUCAAAGAGCACAGUCCCCCCACCCCCACCACCUUUAGAAGUAAGUCGUUUGACUUGCUUGAACAAUGGUGUGUAAAGAACCUCUCUGUUCAAUUGGUGCAGUGCGAUGCCAGGGGCUCAGCUGACUUAAGCACUGUUGAGCUGCGGCCCUGACACCACUGUCUGUCUUCUGUCCCUCUCUGCCGGCCUCUCCCCAAGCUCAGCGCAGUGUCCUGCACCUGGUGGGGACUCAAUACAGUUUUGUUGAAUUGAAAUGGGUCCUUCAUUGCUGGUCCUUAUAUUGCUGCCCCAGGGGUGGGACCAUCACAAAGGGCCUUCCAUGGCGCCAUUGACGGCUCUGAAUCAGUCAUUAACACAUCCUCAGACAUCUCCAGUAUUGAUGUGGCUGCUCACUCCACCCCUCGCCAGUCAGCACAUCUGCACUGUCACUGGCACAAAGGACAGAGCCAAGGAGGCCCUGGUGGGAGCCUGAUAUAAUUCCCCAACAAACCCCUUACUGUCUGCACAAGGCUGCUGAUGCAACAAGCUCCACGCAUCUGCGGCUGUGGAAAUGUGUUUCAUCUUGAGCUUUAGGUCAGUGUUAAUAUAUUUUUAUUAAUAAGCCUCUGCAGGGUGUGGGAUAUGAAAUCAGCUUUAGAACUGUAUGAUAUCUCAUGGAGUUGCCUGGCUGAUUCCCACCUUCACUUUUACAGAGAAGCAAAUGGAAGUGUGAUCCAAAAUGAAAUUUGAUUUUUUUUUUUAAAGGAGUGAAGACUGUGUCUUUUCUGACUUUCAAAGAAACCAAGCAAAUUCAAACUGGACUCCAAUGAUAACACAUUUAAAAUCAUUUGUUGAGCUCUUCUUUGCUCCAGGGAAUAAGAGGAGGAGGGGGAACUUUCAGGUUUCAGGGGAAUGCCAACCCAUGUCAAGGGUUAAAGAAGCCACAUGUCUUAGGUCUCAGCACAGAUCCAGGAAUAGGCCAGGAGAGGAAAAGGAACAGGAGCUGGAAAGAGGCCCAUCAAGGAAAAUGGCACGGCUCCGCUUCCCCAGGACUUAGCUCUGAGUUUCACUGAUGGGAACUUUUGAGGCUAAUUUAUCAGUGGGUUCCUAAUCCCUCCUUACCCGAAGAUAGCAAAGGAAAUGGUGACCACAGAACACCCACAGAGGGAGAAACAGGAGACCUGUAUUUAUCCAAAUGAAUUUAGUCUGCAGUUAAAUGUUUUCAGGCCAAAACUUCUGCCUUGUGGUUCAGGGUAACUGGAGCCCACUGGGAGCUCCCUGUUUAGGCUGGGCUUCAAGCAGCCACCAUUGCUCCGCUAUCCCUUGGGCCUGCAUCACACAUUCAGAGCAAUAUCUGCCUACCAAGGAGCAAAUUCUCUAUGUCCAGGUGCUCUAGAGAGAGACAUGAACUGUAGAGAGCAACUGCCUUGCAGCCCUCCCAACCUGGUGAAAAACUAGGACUGCAUUUCCUCUUUUACCAUCUACCCCAUCCCACUUGAAUCAGUUCCCCAGCCAUGAAGCCUUCCACCAUGCCGGGGGACAUUUCAGUGUUUUGCAGACCCAUCCUGCCUGGGUCCCAUGCCGAUUCUCUACCCUACCUGCCUGCCUGCCCUGCCUGCCUGAAGGGGCCCUGCUGGUCCCUGGCUCAUCUCCCUGCAAGAACAAGACCACCAGCCUCCCUGGCACUGGGCAUGGCCUGAUGGGAUGGGAGAGGCUGUGCGUUCUUUGACUGAAAACACAUUCCGCUACCACAGCCAAGAUCAGCCUGUCACAUUUAAACCCAGGUCAGCGGUGCAGCUGUUAAAAACAAGGGACUAGUAAUAGAUAAAUGGAGAAGGAGACACCAUAUAUAGACCCUGCCCCUCCACAGACACCACCCUCUGAGCACUUCUGCCCACUCCUGACCUCCCAAGAGGUGGAGGAUACCUUUUUUCCUUUCUUCCCCACCUGGAGGAAUGACCAGCCUCUGAGACACUAGCUUCCCCCUGCCCAGCAGCCUACCCUUCGAGUCCUUGCUUUCCUGUACCAGCUCUGGCAGUAUGAAGUUACAUUCCCUCCAAGAAAUACCCCACUCCUGACACGAGAGCUGGCCUUGUCCUCAUUCCCUUACCAGCACAGCACCACUGGCAUACAGCACAUUGCUGCAUGAAGGACCUUUUGGCACAAGAACUCUCCCAUCAAUCUCACUGUCACUUUCCAAUCUCCCCCUUUUAAGGUUGACUCAGGUGGCCAGCAUAUUUCUCAAGACUGGGUCAUUUGGUCAACACAAAGUGUAUGUGUGUGUGCAGUAUCCAGAGUCCAGGCCUCCUGUAAGGAACUUCAGCCAAUGCAGGGCUUGGUUUGCCACCUUCCCAGAGUCCUCAGGGUUUCCGCUCUUACCCCAUGGCUAGUUGCCUGAACGGGGAAACACACCCGUCCACACACAUAGCUGAAUCCCUGUACUAGAGCCAGCAAUGGUGUUCUACGGCAUAGCCCCAGCCACGUUCCUAUAAAGGAACAAAUGCAACUCACAACCCAGAUAAGAUCUUAAACUAAUAAAAAGAUAACUGCUGUCAUACACAGUUUUUGUAAUCACAUGGAUCAAAAUAUUCUUAAUUCCAGCAGUCUUUUGUUUAAGAGUGUUGACCUGAUCCUAGAGCCUGACCCCAGGCUCUCCUUCAUCUUGGCCACUCUAGAGAUGAACUUUCCUCUUCCUGAUGAAAUGCUCUCAGAGAAGCCAUGCCCCUUAUUACACAGUGACUAGGAGGCAGAAUCAGGAUUGAAUGCUGGACACUUACUUUCUUCCACAGUUGGGCAGAUGUUUUUCAAAAUAAGGAAAUUAUUUGCCCCAAAGAUCCUUCCACUGACAUCCAACCUUGGAGCCAUUUGGAAGCUGAGAGGUAACCUGCUGAAGUGUCUGAAAAGAGAAGUUUGAAGUCCAGCCAAGCUUGGUUUGAAGCCUGACUCCAGGUUUUACCAGCUGUGGGACUACAGGCAAGUUUUUGAACUUUUCUAGCCCAUUUUCUGAUUCGUACCUUAUCUGUGCAAGUGGGACAAUAAUACCUUCUCUUUGGGAUCAUGGCAAUUAGAGAUAGUAAAGAUAAAGCACCCAGCAGUGCACAGCCUGUGGUAGGUGCUCUCAGUGGUAACCACCUCUCCCACCCCUGUGUUUUAGCAUUUGGAGUUGGACUUAUAAGAAUAUUUUAAUUCAACAUAAUGUUUUUGUGUGAGUGAAAGUACAAGUUAAUAAGUCAAGGCUAAGGGAAUCUAAGCCAAAAUUGGGUGUCCAAAAUCAAGACUCACCUGAUUUUUUCUAACUCUCCUGACUGAGGGAUUCAGGCCUUUGUACCACCACUACCCUCACCUGCAGAACAACCCCAGAACCCUGUUUAUUUGUUUCUCACUUCCUUAGAAUAAGCUCACACUUGCUCCAUGACACUCCGCUGCAAGAAAUUCAUUAUCAUGUUUUCCUAAGUUAAACACACGAGCAUUUGUUCCUUAUUGAAUAAUAUAAUAAAGAGGGCUCACAAAACAUCAUGACUGGGCCAAAUAAAAACAAAUUAAAAAUAUGUGUGACUUCAUGCCCCUGCUGACUUGUCAUCUUCAGAGGAUGACAUCCACCUUGAUGAGGUUGUGCAUGUCCUGGAGGGCAGACCACAACCUCUGAGACGGGCUCUCGUGGUCACUGCAGUGUUGUGUACCAUCUCAACGUGAUAAUCCAGGGACAUACACAGCAUCCUUGACUGCCAUGGUGUCCCUCCCUGCCUGGUCAGGCCCCAGGACCUGCCCACUGGCUUCUGUGGCAAUGGCCCCUAGAGUUCAGUCUCCAGCUCCCCAGGGCUUCUCCAGGAGUGUCAGGGAGCAAAGCCCAAGCCUCCUCCAAUUACAGAUCCCUUUUCCCAGGCUCCCCUUUGCCUGUCCAAGCCUUUGAAAUGCCACCUGCCUUACCUAGCUAGCUCUUUCUCUGUAGAGUUUGAAAAUAUAACCAUCAGAAACCUCUUAACCUGUCUCCGGAUCUCAAGAAGUCCCUUGCAUUCUGCCUCCCAGCUCGCCCCCAGGAGAGGGGAACAAGAAACCUCUCUCAUGCUUUCAUGAUCUUCCUGCUGGCCAAGAUGAGGCAGCCAAGUUAAUACUUUAGUCCAGGGAUCCUGGACAUAAGUUCAUAAGAAAUCUUAUUAGAGGUCUCAGAAACCUCACUGACUGGCAGCCCCUGUGUCUGCAUCUGCCCAUGCACAGGAACCUUCACGUUGUGUCCCUAUAAGAAUCACUCCCAUUUUCCCAUUGAAGCCUCACAUCCCUGGGAGAAAGGUACAUGGUAGGUAGCAGAGAGCGGCUUUAGAUGUGACAGUGGCCCAGGGUCCAGCUUGGAGCCACCUGACCCCACCAAACCCUAGAGUAGGUGAAGGGGACCCUCAAUGCUAAGGAUCAAAACUGAGGUGCUACAAGAGAGUUUUAAGGGCAAACCCAAGAUUUUGUUGAUUGAAGCUAUUGAGGAGCCAAGGAAAAUGAGCCAGUUUUUCCCACGGUCGUGUCCAGCUCCCUGCUGUUGCGUCCCCCAGAUGUGGGAGAUGGUGAGCAAGGGGGUGAGAUCCCACACAGAUGGGGGCCUGGACACCAGGCAGGAACAAAGAGAAUCAGCAAGGAAAGGCAAUUUGAUUACCAGACAGUUCUGUUUAAACAGGAUGGGGUAGGAUAUCAAGAGGGGGAAAAAAUCAGUGCCCGGAAGGAAGAAGGGAUUUAAAAAUAAAAGAAGUGACAUUAAAUCCAGAGAAGUAACCCUGCCUUCCUUUUCCAGUAAAGUGUUGCUUUUAAAAAUCUGGAUCUAACACAGAGAAGGCAAAUGGAUCCUUCUCUACAUAGCACUUAGGGCAGCUACUGCAGAUUGAUUGGGCUUGGCAUCUGAGGUGAAAUUUGAGACCUAAUCAACGCUCAGCGAGAGUCUUAUAAUUGAUUGUUAAUGUCUGCCAAGGGCAUGAAAAGGAGGAGGAUUUAAUCAAGUACUAUGCAUUUGCCAUCUUUUCUAACCGGUAUUUUUCAAAUUCUCCUAUCAGUUCCCAGCUACCCCAAAAUAUUUUCAUUUAAACAAACAAACAAACAAACAAAAGGCAAGCAUAGCUGACUCUACUAAAGCAGUAGAUUAACCUGGCCCUUCAUUUAAUCAUUGAUUCAUUGAUUCAGAAAGUUACUGCAGGGUUGGACACUGUGGCUCAUGCCUAUAAACCCAGCACCUUGAGAGGCUUAGGCAGAAGAAUCACUUGAGCCCAGGAGUUCAAGACCAGCCUGAGCAAUAGAGUGAGACUCCCAUCUAUACCAAAAAUUAAAAAAUUUUAGCCAGGCAUGGUGGUACACACCAGCAUUCUCAACUACUCGGAAGGCUAAGGCAGGAUGAUCACUUGAGCUCAGGAGGUCAAGGCAGCAGUGAGCCAUGAUCAUGCCACUGCCCUUCAUCCUGGGUGACAGAGUGAGACCCUGUCUGAAAAAAAUCGUUCCUGCAUGUUGCCUCUUCAAAAGGUGCCAGGUGACUGUGUUAGAGAAUGCUGAAAAGAAAACACUUGCUGCUUCAGACACCUUACAGUCUAAAUCAAGAGAUAGAAUAUGAAAUACGGUUGAUUACCACACAAGAAAACACUAAGUAUCAUACAAGGCCGUCUAAAAUAAGCACGAGACUGAGCUGCUCAGUGUUGUAGGUAUUUGUUCAGCACCUGAUGAGUACUUUUAAAGUGUUGUGCUUUUGUUCUUUGUUUUGUAAAGUUUUGAAAGCAUAUAGUCCUUUUCACGCAAAUGGCACAAAAGGUAAUAUUUUGGGUAAAGGAAGAAGGCAGGGAAAGUUUCUGACAGGUCAAGAAAAUUGAGUAUGGAGGCCUUUGACAAAAGCUGCAAAUAGAACCCAGAGUGUAUCAUUUCUUUCUGUCAAUGAUACUUGGUCAUUUUUGACAUAUGGCUUGUUUUUCUGAAAUUGGGUUGUUUUGAGACAGGAUUCUGUGAACUAUAGCCUUGGGGAUAGAAUCUCUACAUGCUUUGGGAUAAUCACCUCAUUUUUUUAAACAAGUGGUAUUUACCCAACUGCAGUAACCUAAGACAGAAUACCCUCUGGUUAAGAAUUAAAGAGACGGGCUAAACGCUCCAUUGAAUAGUCUGUUUAUGUAAGAAAACCAAGUUACUUUAUGAAGUCAGAUUGUGAUUUUCUGUCACUUUUCCUCCCUUUGGUCUCUGGAAAAGAAGUCGAGCAGAUGAUUCAGCCGAGUCCAGCCAGGGCUGGGAAUAGACUUUUUGGACGAUACCUUGUAUUUCCCUGCUUUGUAAGUGCAGUCUGUAGUGUGACAUAAAAGUCUGGUGGGUUUAUUCUGUGUAGACCACCUAUGGUUGUGGCUGUGGGGUUCGUGUGAGACAGCUGCACACCUCAGAGUAGUACUCUGUGGACAAAGAGCGGGGGAUGGGGGUUGCUAGGGCUCGGGACCCUAGGCUGCCACUCCCAGCCCUUCCUGUGAGCCUCCAUGUCCCUGCCAGACCCUUCCUGGAGCUGUGGCUUGAAAAUGGAGGCAUCAGGACUGACUUGCAGGUAGUGAGGGGGAGGGUGUGGGGCUGAGGAGAGAACAGGCGGUGAGCAUGCCUGAUAGCCUCUUUCUUGCUGGGAAGCCAGGAAUAUUAAUAGCUUCAUCACAUUAAUCUAAAAAGAAGGCCUAUAAAGUCCUGACACUCCCUGAAGACAGGCCCUGCUUCCUUAAUCCUCCUGGAUCUUUCCAGGUCAGAGCAGCUCAGCGCCCUUCCCCCUGGAGGCUAGUGGAUCAGUCUCCCCAGGCUGCCAGAGUGGGCCUCCCGUCUGUGGCUGGGAGAGGCCAGGUUUCUGAGUUGGGUUCUCAGCUUCUUUUGCUUUUAAAAUGGCCUCCUGUGCUCCCAUUUCCUGUGUGGCCCCACAGGCAUCCUUGUUUCAGGCUCUCUUUUGGUCUGUAUUCUUCAGCCUCAUAGCACUUGGUGAUGCCAUCUGGCCUGUUGUCUGUCACUUGACCCUCACUUCAGCACUGGGGUGUGCAGAGCACAAGAAGGAAGCCGCCUGCCUGCCUGCUGCCUGGGGGCCCAGAAAUGAAGCGAGGCUUGCAGGGAGGUCCUUCUGUUUCCUGUGUAUUUUCUGCCCUAACCCCACCCUGCCCCCACAACCCAUCGUGCCUGAGUCCCAGCCACCUACCCUCAACCUGUCCUUGGUGGACACUCCUUUUGCUGCUUUGCUUUCUGGAGCCCAAGUCUUGUGAAUUCUACCUUUAAAAGUCUCAGUGCUGACCAGUCCUUUGCACCCCUGCUGCCCUCACCCUCCCCUCUCCACCCGCAGAAUCAACCUUUCACGCUAGGACCAGUCACCUCCCCACAGAAGGCAUUUGAUGACAGCCUCCUCCAAAAGGGGUCAGGCCGGUCACUCCACAACUUCCAGUGUCCACCCCAUCGGGUGCUGACAGUCCUCAGAUAUGCCACACAGCGGCCCAUCAUGGGCCAGCACUGACCAUCCCAGACCCCUGGGGGCCCUCCCUUCCCUCUCCUCUUCCCUCCCACCCUGAGUCGUUCUAUAAGGCCCAGAUGACUCCUCCACUGAGGGGCUCUCCUAAAUUUCUUCUGCUUGAAAGAAUUCCUCCUCUGUAUUCUGUAACGUUCGGCACCUCUCUUUUGUCCAUCACCUUACCCUGCGGUUUCAUAUACUUGCCUUCCUCCCUCUCCAGGUCCUCAGCCUCCUAAGGGGAGCAGCCAUUCCUUGUUCUUCCCCAAGAGUCUGUGGAAUGGAGUUGAAUCUGUUCUGUCGGGUUGGCUUCCCACCUCUGCAGGGAAGGUGAAUGGCUUCAGGCUUCUUAGGUCAGGGUGACUUCACGGGGUGUUUUUAAAUGUGACUUGAAAAUUUGGGAAGUGACCUUACAUUGUCAGUCACUAAAGCAGAGGUAGGAAAUUGAGGUGCUUUUUCAUCACAUUUUGCUUCGCCAUUUCUGAGGAGGGUUCUGUUGUGGUGCCCCUGGAAGGGCCCUGGGUCAGACGAUGCCAGGGGCUUCAUGAAGGCUGGCCAGCAUCCCCACUGUCCCAGCCCAGCCCAACCUGCCUUUUGUCCCAUCCUCGUUUCUGUAUGCUCCUCCUUGCUUCUGUGCCACUGCCAGCAUGCCCUCUCCAAGGGGUUUGUGGGUCCAGUUCUAAGGCAUGGCUGUCCUUCUAGGGAGGAGGUCCUUGUCCAUUUAGAGGGAGUGAAAUGGGAGCUCAGAAGUCAGAGGAAGCUAUUCAUUCCCAGAGAAGUACUUUAAGGCGGCAGGUGUGUUGUUUUUGUUGUUUUUAAGUGAGACAAAUGUGCUUUUCAAAAGACUCCGUGUGUGUGCUUACACCCCUGAGUCUGCUUGAACAUCUAACACCUACCAGCUCCCUGACAAGAACAUUUGUGGCAGAUAAAAGGCAUUAAAAAGUCCUAAGAGUGAAGCGGGAUGAGUCACCGAGAGAGUGAGCCUGCCAGAGCCUUUGAGAGCAGCGGGUUGCAAAGUUUGAGUCUCUUCCUCGUUUGUUCCCUCCUCGUGCCAAGCUAGGGCUCACGGGUGGGUGUGAUCCUCUCCCUUCCUCGGGCCCCUACACCUACAGACCUCCCACCACCUGCAGAGCUCUCCAGCCCACAGCACGCCCUGCUGGGCUCACCCGGUGCCUGAGGGUUUUGCUUGCCAGCUGGGGCUGUGGGAACCAGCCGUGGGCUGCUUUUGCCCUAUAUGAGGAGACGAUGAGACUGAGCAGAGAGUCACUGUUUGUCACCCUGCAGCAUUCAUCACAGCACAAGGAAACAGCAGGGCGGUGUCCCCCUCUCCCCCAACACCCCCUCCCACCCCCGCCUGGAGAGAUGAGAAAACUGCUUGCAAAACGGCUGAGAAAAUUUGCAGCAGAGGCUCACAGGGAAGAGUGGGCUCAAAGCACCAGUGGCAGGCAGCACCUCUAUUCUCAUCUAUGCAGAGCCACUCCGCUUUCUAGUGCCAGGCGAUCGCCUCACGCAGCCGCACCCUCUUUGACUUUCAGCACUGGGUGCCUCUUUACACUCAAGAGGGAGGAGGACAUGCCCAGUCUUCUGUGGAGCUGGGCAUCUCUGUGGCAGAAGCUGGGAAGUUUUGCAGAGCCUGCUGCUUUUUGAGGUCUUUCUGUAGUUCUCAGAGCAGAUUUAAGAAAUGUGGGUUCACCAGUGAGAUUGGCAGGAGAAGGGGAUACUACCAUUUAUAGGGGCGGCGAAUGCCUAGAGAUUUGGUGGGAGAUGUGUUUGGAGAGUAAUGAGGAUGAGUGGCUUGAUGGGGAUGUGGGGGUUGGUGCAGCUGGGGAGUCUUGGAACCUGCUGAUCCAAGGUGCCUGGGAGGGCUACUGACCGCACCUGUUGUCUGUGUAUCGGCUCCUCAUUAGAGCCCAUUGCCUGUUCUUUCAGGGGCUUAAUUGAAAGGAAGUUUGAACCACAGGCUUGUCUUUCACCCGAGUCUCAUGGGCACCCAUGGGUCAGAGCUGCAUGGACACACCUGUGUCCAUCGAGAGGACAGAAACUUCACAGACCUUCAGUUACGUGUGCCCCACUCUUGCUAAAGUAAAGGCUUUUGAAGUGUUGGGCCCAGCCAAUGCCUUGAUCUGGAAGUGCUUUAGGGUACACCCUACAUGUGUUCGGGCAAUACCUGGUGUCCCCGGAAGUCGUGUUCCCCGUGCUAUUUUGUAUUCUGAGGUCAAGCUCCUCUGAAGAGCCACUAACUGCCUUUGGAUGGGUUUUAGGACAUUUAGUCAUGGGUCAGACUGUUGAGCCUCCAUGGCUGUGAGAAUUCCAGGGCUCUAAGCUGGCCCUGCCUGCAUCAGGCUGUGGUACUGAAAUGCAAUUAAACAUGGUAAGCAGCUCCCUUUACCCUUUCAAGUCACAGUGCUGACUCUUGCAAAGAAAUAUACAAAUAAAAAGUGUUUGCAUUUUUAUUUAUGUAGAAGCAGGAGAUGGCAAAUUUUAAACCCUAUUUUCAAUCAAACCUGGAAAAAAAAAUGUUAAGAUUCGAGUAACUAGUUGGAACCUUGCCUCUCUCCUUUCGUUUCUAUAUAGGUCUGUUUUUUCCUGAUUGCCAGACUCAGUAAGAGAAGGAAGUGUGUGUGUAGUCAGUGUAUAGAGUUCCUGUUACCUGUUAGACCGUAAUAGCCCCACCAGACAUGCAGAAAUGGAACUUGAUUUAUUAUAAAACUUGAAAGAAUCAAAAAGGGAAGAAAAGAAAGAAAAGCAAAGAAACUAGCCACAGAUCUGCCGCAUCAAACAGCCAAUCAGUAUGCCCAGCAGCAUAAAAACAGCACGUCUGCAGCCAGCUGGCAGCGGAGGGGGAAGCAGGCUCCUCUACCUGCUUGUUCAUUUGACAGGAGCCUUGAGAACUGCAUCCUUUAUUUGGGUCUCAAACAAGGAUAGUCGUUUGUAGAAAGGGUUUUAUUUUUUAAGCGCUUUUUCGGGUACGGUGUUCUUCACCACCAUACUGCGGUUUACGCAGGAAGUUAAUUGCUCUAUUCUUUUACAUUGACCUUGAGAGGAUUUUCUAUCUAAGAAAAGUGACAUUUUGGUUUUCUAAUUUAGAAGCACAAAGGAAGUUGAGAGAUACAGUGUAUGAGCCUGAUUCACACUUUGGGGAAAAGUGCUCUGGUGAAAUUAUACACUCUUGGAACUGGGAGCAAAGAUAACAUUAUUAGACUUAGGCGUGAAAUAUGAUUAAUGGGAAAACAGGGAUAACGCCGAUGCCCCUUCGUGUGCAUGGCCAGCUAGCAUUUCAUCCCUGAAAACUUGUGUGGUUGAAGUGCUUGAGUGAACACCGGUGAAGGUCUGUGCUCACAGUUCUGACUUCCCCGGCAGUCACAAGCAGUACUAGUAACGCUUUACCUACAGUUUCAAAGCACGCUGUUUUAGAAAAGGAGGACCCAUCCCCCAAUAAACACACUAAUAGAAAUGCCAGCCCUUGGAGGAGGAGGGUCACUGCAAGAUGAAUUAAUGGAUAGAAAAGAGAAGAAUCCUGAAACUUGGUGGCCUGGAGGGAUGGAGAGAUUAAACUUGCCUGAAUUAAUUGUCAUGCUGAAGCCAUUUCACAAUGUAUAUGUAUCUCAAAACACGACAUUGUGCACCGUCAGGAUGUUCAGUUUUUAGUUAUCAACACAAAAUAAAUGAAAAAAUCAUGCUGGCAUCUUUUAAAAGGAUAGCCAGGGCUGGGCGCAGUGGCUCACACCUGUAAUCCCAACACUUUGGGAGGCCAAGGCGGGUGGAUCACGAGGUCAAGAGAUUGAGACCAUCCUGGCCAAUGUGGUGAAACCUCGUCUCUACUAAAAAACAGAAAAAUUAGCUGAGCUCGGUGGCACAUGCCUGUAGUUCCAGCUACUAUGGAGGCUGAGGCGGGAGAAUCACUUGAACCUGAGAGGUGGAGGUUGCAGCAAGCCAAGAUUGCAUCACUGCACUCCAGCCUCAGGCGACAGAGCAAGACUCCAUCUCAAAAAAAUUAAAAAUGGAUAACCAGUUUGGCUUGGCGUGUCAAGCUGACGGGCGGCUUCCUGUUGGAACCCAUUCACUCCCUGGCUCAGGCAGGGGCCGGUAGCUCAUGAUGCCAGCACAGGCUUCCGGGACACAUUUUGAUGAUACUUUGCAGUACUCUCACCUCUCAGUUCGAAGACCCAGAGUUCUUACUCAGCUGACAGAAAAAGCCACAUGUAAAACUCAAUCAUUUUGGAAUGAUAAUGAUGGAGGGACAAGGGUGAUCUGUGGCUGUCAUCCUCUACCCCUCUGGGGAAUAUGUGAUGUCUUCUUCUCCUCAAAGAAGAAUAAAAGGCGGGGACAGGACUUCCCCUGGGGUUUAGUGUGGUGGCAGGUGCCACCACAUACACUCUCUAAAUUACUAAGGGGCUUCUGCAGCAAUCCGAAAUGCAAAACAAACUUGAAAGUAAUUUAUCUUCUUAUCCACAUCAAGAUCAGGAUAACAUUUGUGUGUGUUUUUAUAUACUUGAAGUAAAAAUUAGAAUAGUCAAUUAACCCUAUUAGGAAACUUUAAUACUUCCAUUUAAAAAAUACUGUCUUCACUCUUUUCUUCGAAAAGCUCCACAAAUUACUGCUUACUUUUAGAUUCUCUCCUGGAUUUUAAUGUACCUUCUAGGCAUUAAAACAGGAAUAACUCUGAUAUCCAUCUGAUAUUUGGAAAUGACAUUUACUGGUAUAAUUUGUUAUUCUGUUAUUGCUAUAAUUGCCAGCACUCAUUUGUUCAUUCGUUGUGGUGUGAAAAACAAAAUUGAUGAAAGUUUAUUUUUCUCUCCCUCUCCAGACCUGCCCUAUCUGCCAGUUCUCUCCGCAAAACACUCUGGAAUGAAGGAUGAGAUUGGACUUCUCAGUGUGUGUCCAGAACAAGGAUGGAGAGGCUCAGCAGCACUGACAGGACCUCCUCAUGAAAUGGAAGCACAUCCAGGCUGGAGGCCCCUGUGUUCCAGGUGCUGUGUCGGUGCUGACCUGCCCGGUGACUCCAUGAUGGCUUCUGUCUUCAAGGUCACCAUCAACUGAAACAGACUGAAGAGGUAAAUGGUAAUGGAAGGACACGAAAGGUACAAGAGUCAGAGGCCAGGCCAAGAAUGCAAGCUGAGCAAGGGGCAAGGAAGUCCUCCUUGAUGGCUGGCUCCAGAACUGGGACUGCAGAAAGAGGAGUUUUCUGGAUAGAAAGGGAUGUGGACCUUCCAGUCAGGUUCAGUUCCACAGAAGCAUGCACAUGUCGUAUGCUAGGGGGGCACAACUGCACCACUGGGCAGGGGCAGGCUGGCAAAGAGGCUGCAGGAUCCGGGACUCACUCUAUCCUGAGGCAGUGGGGAGUUUAGGAGAGGGUGAGUCAGAUCAGCAUGGAGUUAGCCUAGAGUCAGGAAGAUGAGUUAGGAGGUCUGACAGUCUAUUGAAGUAAAAUUAUUCAUUACAGAACAGCACUGUGUAUGUCCCUAAAAUACUUGGUGCCAUAUUUAUUCUCUUGAAGGAUUAAUCUGAGGAGUUAGAAAAGAAUAACUGGGCCAUUGAGUCUCGGUCAAAAUGAUUCAUUCAUCCAACCAGUAUUCAUCAAGCAUCUCCCACAUGGCCAACACUGGGGACGCAGGGAUGAGGCUGGAGUCAAGUGGAGAAGACUUCACUCGCAUGCCAUGAGAAGUGCUUUGAAGGAAGAGGAUCAGAUACCUGUAGAGCAUGUGACAGAGGAGUCAGGUCUGGUCUGGGGUUAGGAGUCCAGGAAGUGACCAGAGUUGAAGCUUGAAGGAGUUGGUAUUCAACAUGCAGAACUGGGAAAGAGGCAUUCCAGGCAGAGGAAGCAGCUUGUGUGAGGGCCCUGGGGUGGCAGGGAGCAUGGUUCAUAUGAGAAGUUAGGAAAGCACAGAGAGAAAGGAGGAGAACAGGGAGGCUUAGGGGAGGAAGGGGUGUGAGGCUUUGCCAGGCCUGGACCUGCCCUUUAAGGUGCCAAGUCCUUGCAAGCAUUUAAAGAUAAAACAUGACAGCCAUUUGUUGAUGAUUUCUUGGUCUCUCUGUGUCCUCCUGGGCACUGGUGGAUUCUCAACAAAACCAAAAAGUGGAGUUGGCUGCAGAUGAGUCUGUUCAUGGCCUCAGCUUCUCACCUAUUCCUGAGUCACGUUUUGCCCCUCUGACACAGGGAUGGGAUAACGCCAGGACAUGGGUUUGUGGUGUUUAACUUACGGGAGUUUGUACAGGUUUUACCUGGUACCAGCAUGACCUUCCCAUGUGCUCUCUUGGUCAGCAAUUCACAGUCUCCUUGCUUUAUUUUACAAGGAGUUAAUCCUACUUUCUGGAACUUGCUCAUUCUCAAAGUGAGUGGUGGUUGGUCCCCAAGACAGUCCACAGAAAUUCCAGCCCCAUGGGAAAGAAAAAAUUCCAGGUCUCUACCUGAUGCUUGGAAAACCAACCAUUAGUCAACACCAAUGCUCAUCAAAUAUGCACAUUUAUCUAGUAUUUGCGGCAUGCCCAGUUUUCUGAUCUUAUUAUUAUACUCUUUUGCAGAUAAUAAAACUGAGACCCAGAAAUUUUCAGUAAUUUGCCUUAAAACACAGGUAGGAAGAAGUAGAGUCAGGUUGCAUACCAGACCCACCUGUUUCCAAAGUCCCAGCACUUAACCAUGGUGCCACACAACUGCCCACUCAUCUACACUGCUGGGAGAGCAGUCUCCCAGCCUGCAGGGCCGGAGGUGUGGACUUAGCAUCUGCUCUGGGCUCGCCUUCACAGAUAAGCAAUCUGAACAGGGAGAGGCACCUGGAUGUGUCCACGUCCACCAGGGAAAGGCAGCUGCACUGGAGCUGGGUCCCCUCUCCACCCCGGCUCCUCCUGCUGCUCAUUGACUGCAUGAGUGCCUUCAUCCUACAGAACUUUCCAUUCCUGACCCAGUGAGCAGCGAUAGAUGAUGACCCUCAUGGAGUGAUGAAGAUUCAAGAAUUUCAGGAGUGUGAAGUACCUAGAACGUCUGGCACUUCUGCCCCAGUACACAGUAGCUGACAUCUGGUCCCAAGUCCUUCCUCGGAACCUGGCAGGAAGAACUUGGCCUGGGAACCUAGCUUCCCAGCCUGGGAUUCUGUGGGCCACAGAGGCCCAGUGUAGAGAUUAUAGCCUAACAUCCCAGCAGAGAUUCUUUGAUUGCAGAUAGGAAAAUCCAGACAUUUCUGAACUCCAAGACCACGGUGAUUCAUAUGGCCUGGUGAUUAUGAUUGAUGAAUUACUCAAAGUUUCUGCUUCCCCCAACUCUCCAACUCUGGCAAGAACUUUGGCAGAACUUCUAUGCCACAUCCAGUACUAGGAACUUGCCAAGUUUGUGUCCUUAAAAUAAAGUGGGUUCCAAGAUAGAUGGCAGAAAGUGGGAAAUGUGAUUUUUCUUGAUUGGGUAACUAAGAAGCACACAGCAGGCAGGAGCCAUUUUGGGCCAAAGAGCUGUUCAUUUAAAGUGUUUAUUGACACCUGAAAAUAGGGAUUAAACUUCAAAUGCUAUUUUCAUGUCAAGUUUAUGCUAUAUAAUUUCAUAAUGGUGAUGAAAUCCAGGCAGAUACCAAAAGGAGAGUUCCCAAGUGAUCUUACUGCUGGGUUUCCCUAUUACAGACACUCAGGAUCCUGGACCAGCUGAAGCCAGGGGAGGAAGCACCCCGGCAGAUCACCUGCUGAUGGAAAGGCAGGCACCAUGAUAGUUAAGUGUUUACAUGUUGGCUACCUGGUUUCUUUUCAGCCAGUCUCAGCUUUGGUUGGUUUGUAUGAUUGCCUCAAAUCUUCGGAGGUCACCCUUACUUUUUAUUUGGAAUGUGUUCCCCGCUCUAGAGGACUGAAUCAGAGAGAUUGCUCUGCAUUCUUGAGGGGUUCCAUUUUGACCCUGCUCAUCCUCAGUAGACAGGGAGCUAUUCCAAGCAUGGACUUGCAGGUCUGGGGACCUUGGACAGCAUACAAAUCGAGAGGUGAGAGACGGCCGAGGCAAAGUUCCUACUCAGAACUUGCAGUAAGAACCAUCUCUGAUUUCUAUAUUUGACAACACAAUAAUGGGAUUCCCUGCAUUUCUCCCAGAAAAGCAUCAGUGGGGAAAAAACUUUGUUCUGGGAGGUGCAGUGACCACCAAAUACUAUGAAGGCCCAUCAGUGGACACACUCAAGCUGUGGAGGGCUCUUAGCGUUUGUUGAAGACAGAUCUUCCCAGAGAAAUACCAACACACAGCAGCACAGAGGCAUCUCUGUGCCCGUCGACCCACCCAGAGACCUCCCCAGCAUGGUGUGGUGGGGCAGCUGGUGUUGUGAAUCAGGCCGUUGCCAAUCAGAGAACGGCUACUUCACAACACCAGGGCCGCACCACACUACAGGCGGCAUUCUGGCUCCAGAACCAGCAAAGGCACCCACUGGCGAGGCAGCCACUCCCCCGCCACAGAGGACCAUCAGCUCUAGAACCCAGGCACGUGGCUUUCCAGGUCUGGGCUGGCUGCUGCAUCGCCCCUGCAGACACUGGCUUCCUGAGGCUGCUGUUUAUCCCCAACACAAAUGCUCCACUUUUAAAGAAAAGGCCACUCCUGGUAACAUUAGUUUCCUACAGAGAAAAUGGUGCUACCAGGCUUCCCACUGUGAAAAUGAAGUUAUGGGCCAUCAGGAGGGUUCAGUGCCACUCAAUUGAACAUUUCCUCUUAGGAGCCAAAACACACAGUGGUUGCAGAGCUGGGACCUUUGUUUUGAUACUCAGUGAUGGUAGCUUUGAAUAGGGCAAAGUAGAGGGAAGGGAGGACCUCGUAAUAGGAUAGGAUGGUGGCCUUAGGGGCACUCCUGGAGAGAGGAAGUCUCUUUGUAGCCACAUAUACAGGUGAUGCAUCUAUUUCCUAGAUGGUCCCAGGGUCCCUAGAGAGCAAACACCUUUCUUAGCCAGGGAGAAUUCCACAGCUGUACAUAAGCAUGUGUCCCAGUGACCUGACAGCUGGACAAGAACCAAGCAUGGGACUGCUCCUGGGGCACUGAUCUGCCAGACACUCCAUCAGGGGUAAUACUUUCCAUUACUUGUGCUGACAGAUGGGCUUCCUUUCCCCAGGUCCUUACAGCAUGGACCCAGCAGAGCUGGAAGACUAAUGAGGUCUCUAGAAUUUGGGUAGCAUUUUGUGCCUAACCUAAAUCUUAUAUAUGACAUCACCACUUUUCAGAGCCCAGGCCAGUUUUCAAGAUGGAGUGGCUAGGUUGGCUACUGUCCUUUUCAAAACACGAAUAAAAAGUAGAAUGUUCCUCUCACUCACUUUCUAUAGAACAGAGAUCCAGAGCUACUCUGAUUAACUCAGGCCCAGUCUGUAUAACCUCAGUGUUUGUAUAAGGUUCUUGCUGCUCUGAAAACCAGAGAGAUGGAUAAAAACAAGCACCACUCAAACCUUGCCUAGCACCCAGGUUAUAUAGAGCCUGAGUUAACCAGAGCCACCUGCAUCUGUGUCACCAAGUCUACUUCUGUAAAGUUCUGUCCCUCACCCCAUCCCCAUGUCAUUAAGGGUAUCUCUGAAAUUUGUACUAAAUUAUGAUUGGGGACAAAUUUCUUCAAAACAAAAUAGUCUGUUUUCAGAAAGGGUUUCUUGCUGUCUCCUGAGAAUUCAUCCAGUUACCAACUCCCCUACCACGAAUGGACUCUAAGCUAGAGCCACUCACGGUGUGGUCCAUGGGUGGCAACUUCAUCAUGCUGGAAAAGCAGGAUCCUAGGGACCACCAUGCACCUGCUGCAUCAGAAUCUCUGGAAGCCAACCCGGGCAACAUAGCAAGACCUCAUCUCUACAAAAAAUGUUUUUAAAAAUUAGCCAGAUAUGGCCGUACACUCCUGUAGCCCCAUAAGCUCCUCAGGUAACUGACGUGGGAGGACCUUUUGAGCCCAGGAGUUUGAGGCUGCAGUGAGCACAGAUUGUACCACUAUACUCCAGCCUGGGUGACAGAGCAAGACCCUGACUCAAAAAAAAAAAAAAAAAUUUCCAGUGGGGAUAGCAAGCUGGUAGGAAUUGUGUGUUACAGGCACUCCAGGAGAUGCUUCAGAACCACUUCUACCCCUUUUGGGUCUCCCUACAAUCUCUCCAGCUUCCAUUUCAACCUUCUCUCCUCUACACAUUAUAACCAGAAUGUUCUUUUCAAAAUGUACUUCUAAAUCAUGCGAAUGCCUCCCACUCCUGGCCUUAUAACUGCUUAAAGAGUUGUCCUGAUGCUAACUUCCGUGGGACCCAUGAAUGACAUGCACUCCCCUCCCCACUCCUGACGCACCCCUCCUCCCUUUCCAUAAGAUCCCUCUGGCCUCUAUCCCAGGGCCUUCAUUCAGCUCAGCCCUAUCUAGAAGGGUCCCAGUUGCCUCCAAACUCCAUCACUGAUACCUGACUGUCCUCCAGGUUUCAGACAGAGCUAACUCCCACUACCCAGAAAGCCAGAUCAGGUAACAGCUCUUCCAUACACUCAGCAAACUGAAUUCCAUCCCUUCAGAGCAUUCAUCUCAUUUUGUCAUUACUCAUUCAUCAUUGGGGGAAUCUUUGCUGAAUCUGUGUCUUUCUCACUGGUCAUAAGCUCCUCAAGGGCAGGGACAUCCAACUUCAUUCACUGCUGUACCCUCCAGCCUAGUUCAGUCUCUGACACUGAGUAGACACUGAAUAAAUCUGUUCAAUGAAUGGAUGAGCACAACCCAAGCCCAGUGUCCUUCAAGGUCAGACACUCUGGCUCUUUGUUGAAGCCCUGGGUCUUUGAUCCUUUCAGUGGCAUCAUCAUUAAUAGCAGCAGGCAAUAACAGAGUAGAAAUUGCCAGGCACUGCCCUGAGCCCUCCAUGUGCAUUUAGCCAUACACUUCAUGCCUCCAUUUCCUUCUCAUAAGCAGGAAGGUCAUGUAACCACCCUGUCAGGUAAGUACCAAGACCAUACCAUCCAUAUUGUUGGUGAUUAGUGUCACUGCUCUUUAAACCCAGGCACUCUGGCCCCAGAGCCCAUGUACUGAGCCACUGCUCCCUGCUGCUGAGGAGCCAGUGUGAGGGCUGCUCCCAGGGACAGAGCAAAGCCUUCUCCAUUCUCAGAGGUUUCCACUUCAGUUUCUUAAACCAGGUAGACCAGGCAGUAUUCCCCACCUUGUGCAUUUGUAGUUUCUAACCUUGUUUAAAGCCCUUCAUAAUGGAACCUGAUUUUAAAAACCUAAAAUAAAAUGGGGUCAAGUCCAGAGAGAGAAUAAGAGAACAAUUUAAGAUCAAGGAUGCUCUACUUAAUUUUGGUAUUGAGCAGGUGAAUUCAUUUGAAGUUUGCACAGUGACCUUCAGAGGUGAGGCUGCAAAGGCAAAUUGUGCGCUCCCCCUGCCCCACCACCUGCCUCACCCAACCCUGCCCAGAACGGUUUACUCAAGCCUAGCCUAGGGGGGCACAACCUUAGGCUGCCUCCUCCGCAUGCUUAGAUCCAGCUAGAGCCCCACCCAGGGCCACAGACCUUCAUCCACAUUGUGGCUUCUUCUCCAAAGUACAUUCACCUCACUGAGAACAGCCUUUCCCCUCCUUAGCGUUCCAGACCUUCCACUCAGGCUGACUUAAUGCCACCUGGCCAGAAAGAAACAGAGUGUCCAUUCCCCCUUUUCUAAAACCUUGGUUUUGUGAUCAUUUGAAGCUCUGAGUUUAGGAUCUCUGUAUUAUAAUUUCCUUGGGAUCCCACCUUUGCAGCUAGCCACAAUCCAACUUAAAAGACUCUCUCAGGAGGCCCGUUGAAGAUAACCAAAAACCCCAGUGAUGUAGGGAGCGCACCAGACACACACUUUUAUACCCACCACCUUGUCUUAAGCUGGUUACCAUCAGCUCUUCUGGGAAAAGCUGGGUUUGGAAAAGGAGUUCCCUGAGUGUAUUUCAUAUCACAUCAAGCAAUGGUUCUCAAAGUGUGCUCUCUGGAGCAGCAGCAGCACCAGCAGCUCUGGGGAGAGGCCAGUGCACUCAACUUAGAGAACUACCAAAAUAGUGUAAAAGAUGGGGGAGAAACCCCUCAAGUAUCAAAGGUUAGAAGGCCACAAUAGUGGAGCAUCUGUGCCUGCCAUUUGCAGAACUGUGGAAAGUUUAGGGUGUUUACUGUAUGUUGAAUAAUGAUUCUCUCAAAACUUUUGUGAGUUGUAAACAUAAAUCCCUAGAGAUGCUGAGCAGCGGUAACCUGGCUCUUCCCAUUUUCACCUGCAUACACAUGGCCAGAGCAUCCGCUUAUCCGUCACAACAGGGGAGCUGGAAGGUAAAAGUUAUCUUCUAUCAAUAUAAAGUCUUAGAUUUUUUUCAUUUAUGAAAUUCUUAACACAGUACAUGGCACAGUUACAUUUGAAAGGCUUUUCAUUUCUUUAAUCUGAGCCCAAACCAAGCCCAUUUUAAGGAGAGGAACUAGAGGCAGAUUGAGGAGCCAGCCUGUACUCCAGGGACGAGAGGCAUUAGUUGCUGGAGCAGAGAUUUGAGCUCAGCAAUACUCCCAGACCCACGCUUGCCCUUGCUUUUGAUUUUCUACCUCCCUAAUGAACAAGUGGGGACCAUAAAAGUCAGCUGUGCACAGCUUAGAGCACCUGUGUCUGUCUGAGCAAUGAAAAGCCAUUUGAUUGGCAGUCAACUUGGAGAAACCCUGACCCUAAAAGCUAAUGCCAUAAAGACCACACUGGGCAAUCAUAUCAUUUCAACUUGACAAAAUUUGUUGUACAUUUAUCUCGAGGUGGACUUCUUUUUUUGCUAGUGGUAGGGGUGGAUUUCCUUGUUUUUCUGGUAAUUCUUGCUAGCCACUUACCUUAGAAUUCAUAGGUGGUCAUUUACAUAUUCCUCGUGAAAGCCAUAGCCAAAAAGACCUUUUCAACCCCAAGCAUCUCUCUCUUGGUAGGUACUGGCUUCAGGCAAGUGGCUUCUCUCUUUAAGGAAAUAUGGUAAUUUGAGUGUUUGUCAUUGCUACAUACUCCAUCUCACCAACUGCGGUGAGACUAUCAGGAAAACUGCACAUCACUCUGCUGAAAUUUCAGGAAAAGUUUACAGGUCUCAAUGACAGAGUUGAAGUCAGAAAAUUUCACCUUCAUGUUAAUUUUUGAUGGACAUUUUUAAGGGGAGGGGCAAGAAAAUCGUUUCACCAUUCCCUUUGUUUUCUUAAAAAAAAAAAACUCAGAAGAAACCUCACACACAGACCAUGAGAGAGUUUGAAAUCGCUAUUUUUAAAGGUAUAGCAGGAAAGAAUUUUGAUAGAAAAGUAGAGCAAAAUAAAUAAGCAGUAAAACCUCAUCCCUAACCUUCUCCAGCUGCCUGACAUCCUAGUUUAGUUCUGGAGAGUUGGACCACUGCUCUCUAGUUCCAGGGGGUUGCACAGGAGCCAAAAAUGAAACCAGAGGCUGAGCCCCAACAGAAGAUGAAACUUAGGAGCAGCCUCAGCUCCAGGAAGCCUCACUUUCUGGCACAGCAGAUCUGGGUGCUGUAGAGCCCAGCUAGGGCUAGGCACCUGCCAGCAGUCCAUCAGUCAUGGUCUCAGAUGAGUGGCACCAAGGUGGAGCCCACUGAGGCAAAGGAAGGAUCUGUGAGGGACACCUGCAGCCUGCUGCAAAAAUGUCUGCCCCCCACACCUUGUCUUGCUGCAGCUCCAACUCACAGUUGGAGAAGUGGAAGCAAAGCAAAGCAGCCUGUCCUAGACCACACAGCCUGGUCCUCUGUUUUCAGAGCCAGAGGUCUUUGUGCUCUGGAACGAAGACAGUGACCCCCCACUGACCCACUGGCACUUACUGUGUCCCAGGGACGUGGCCUGUGUCGUCUCGUUUCGGCACAGAGCAGCCCUGGGACUGGGAGCAGUGUCGUCAUUCCCAUUUUUCAGGUGAGGUACAGGCUCAGAAAGGUCACAAAACUUGCUCAUGGUCUCACAACUGGUGAGUAGGUUAUCAGACUCCAAAGAUGUGUGUAGCUAACCCUGCCCAAAGGGACUUCCUCCUCCAUACUUCCUGGGCAGCUCUCCAGAACACCCGCCAACAGGCAACGUAGAUGUGACUGCCUUCAAAGUUUUCUACCUGCCUUCAAGCUUGAAACACUGGAGCCUGAUAGAGAGCACUGGAAGUGGAGGGAAGAGAAAGAGCUAUGCCCUCCUGCAGUGAACCUCCAAGGUCGUUUCCUCAGGCCUGACUCCAACUGGAAGGAGCAGUGUGUGUAUGUGUGUAGGCAUACACGUAUGGAUGUGUGUGCCUGUGUAACUGACUUUGUGACUAUGAAACUGAGUUAAUACUCUUCUGUCUUUGCCUGUUUCUUCUUGCAUAUUGCCUAGAAGGAUACCCAUUACUGUUUAGAGGCACAGAACAAUAGAAAAUGACACUGUUCAAGGACCAAAACUUUCAAAAGACUGCUGACACACAGCAGAGUGUGAAGGCCCCUGGUAAUCCCCUAGGGAUAAGCACUUGACAUUUUUUUAUAAUUUGAAUUUCUUUAUGAUUAUAAAAGUUGCACAUAUUUAAAGACACUUCAAAACAAAAAUAAAUGCUUCAUUGCUCAGGUUACCUUGGUACAUGCAGAGUCUAAGGCCACAUCCAUCAAUGUAACUUGCUGCAUGGAUUACCAGAUCUCCCCACCAUUGACCUCUUGAUUUUUUUACCCAGAGAGCAAACAGAAUGGGCAAGGACUGACCUGAAAUCCUUUUGAAACACAAGCUGGAUCCUAAAGCUUUGACCUCCACUGCUCACUGCCACAUGGAAUCUAUCUCUGUGCCCCACUCCGCCCCAGCCCCAGUUGGCCUUCCUGCUGCUGCUCACACAGGCUACACCAAAGCCCUUUGCACACGCUGUUCCCUGCAGAGGUCUCUCUUCCUCUGAACAAAUGUGGGACCCAUCUCUGCCAAGGCUGGGAAGCAAACAGCCCCUGCUUUGCCUUGCCAGCCUGUGUCUGUACCAUUCCUGUGGUGGCCUCUCCGAGCUACUUUUACAUGGCAUUUGAGCUCUGGGAAGCUGGAAGUUUGUCGAGUCCAUUUCCCUCAUUUUGCAUCUAUGGACGAUAAAGCCCACAGGCGAGGGUUUUGACAAAAGGAAAAAUGCCUUCCACUUGGCAUUGUGACGGAGAGGCUGUCUCAGACAAGCCUGGGAAUUUGGGAUAUAUCUUGCUGAGCCUAGAGACAGAAAAGAGCUUCUAGGCUGCCUUCCCUGAGUCCCGGGCCAGGUCCUUCCAGGACACACUCGCAUGGCACCCUGUUCAAAACACUGCACACUAAUGACUGCAAAGGAUUAACUGACUUUUCAAUAUUCUUGUUUUCUACAAAGUGAAAAGCUUCAGAAGGACAAGGUAUGAGUCUGUUUUGCUCUUUUGCCUCUCCCAGCACAUGGCACAAUGCCCAGCACAUAGUGUUUUGAGAGACAGCUGACUGGCUGUCUCAUACAGGGCCCUGCUCUGUUGGGCACAAGGGCUGCUUAACACAUUCCUAUGCUACAAAAGAUGGGCAGUGCUCCUCUCCUCCAGGAGCCACCAAAUAAAUUCAGAUAGUAAUGCCAGAAAGAGGGUAGUGCCAGCCUGGGGAGAGAGUGGCUUGAUAAGGCACUGCUUCUCUCCACGGAGACAGUGUGGAAUGAUAGGGAUGAUCUAGGACCUAGAGGAGCGACCUUAAAUCUUUCUUGCAGCCAAAAGCCUUCAUACCUGAGCCAGCCAGAACUGUUAGGUCAGAAUUCUCACCCAUGACAAAAAGCCUGGGGGUAUGGAGUCCAGGGUUGAUGCAUUAAUUUAAGGGUGUCAUCAGAAGCUUAGACUUGACCCUUCUGCUGCGCCACCCUUAUCACCUUGUGGUCACAAGAGGGCUACUGCUGUUCAAGUCAUCACUUCCACAUUCCAGAAGGAAGAAAGGAAAAGUAGAGGGGCCAGAAGUAUCCCCUCCUUUUAUCAGGCGGCAUCAGCUUUCCCAGAAACUUCCAUGUCCACCCAGCAGACUCCCACUUAUAUCUCGGUAAGCAGAACUCCUAUCACCUGGCCACGCCAGCAGUCAGGGAAGCUGGAAAGGUGGGCAUUCAGCUAUAGAGAGUGGAAACAAGCAGCAAGGGAAGACAAGUCAGUAACUGCUGUAGAGUUCCCUGGCCAGCAGCAUCUGCCAAAACUACGUAAAUUAUUCAAAAUAAGUGUUUUUGUGGAUUUUCCUAUUACAAAAGCAAUGCAUAUAGAUUGUUACUUUAGAAAAUAAAGAUUUUAAAUCUUCAACAAGCCCAUUACUCAGAAGUGACCACUGUUGUUCCAGGUUUAUUAGCCUUCUAGAUCUUCGUAUUUUUUUAACAUGGAUGGAACCACAAUAUGGGUUGCUCUGAAAUUAGCCUUUGCACGUGGCAUUGUGAAAAAUCUUUCCAAAUCAUUAAAUGUUCUCUGCAGAAUUA